rnacentral:lncRNA from 1 species
AACCAAUGUCAUAGGUAAAGUUGUGAAUCAUGUAUCAUAAAACAUCAUAGUAUCUGUCACAAAUCAAAAUCCCAUAUCAAAACAUCAGAGUAAACUCCCAGGCUAAUACUGUGGUGUGUGCGAUGCCAUCAUCCCAAGCUCUUCCCCUUGCUACUGGAAGUACUUGAAACCAAAACUGAAAUUGUAAGCACGAAGCUUAGUGAGCUCCCCCAAACUACCAGAUACCAUACAUAUAUAACACGCACCUAGGAGAUACACGCCCCACCCACACUCAUGGAGAUACAGGCCCUACCCACACUCCGCUAUCUAGGANNNNNNNNNCCCCCACACACACAGACACUUAAAUACUUCGAGAUACGACCCCACCCACACUUGACUGCUAUGAGAUACAGGCCCCACCCACACUUAGCUACUAGGAAGACAUAAAAGUAUCACACAGAAAAUAAGUAUAACUAAUAUAUCAUUCAGGCAUAUAUCAUAAUCAAACUUAGCUACUAGGAGAUACGGGCCCUGCCCACACUCAACUAACUAAGAGAUACGAGCCACGCCGACACUCGACUACUAAUCAUAACAUGAUGUGAGCUGCCCUUGGUGCCUUAGAACCGUUCCUACUAAAGGGAAACUCACCUCGUAUGACUGACUGCUGAAAACCUGAGUGAGAAAUCCCUGUCUGCUACUCCGAUAACUCUCCGACUAUGAAUUCCAUAAUGACACUUAGUCAGAAACUGAUAACUGUUCUUAGGGUAAAAUGAUAAUUUUACCCCUGGUCAAAGUCAGCAUCCUGAUCAAAGUUAACCUUCCAGGUUGACCAAACUUGCCGAGUCAUCCUUGUGACUCGCUGAGUCCUAGAAUUCAGAACCCUGGAAUCGCGACUCAACCCACCGAGUCACCCCAUGACUCGUCGAGUUCCCAAGCUACUUGCUAUUGCAAUCUGUCGAACUCACUCGUCGAGUCAUCCUCAGAUUUUUCGAGUCCUAUCAUAAACAGAAAAGGGACAAGAUCCUUCUACUCGGUGAGUUCCUUAAUCAACUCGCUGAGUCCCCUUAUGAACCCGUCGAGUCCCUUGCAGAUCUAACCUAGCUAACUAGUUUCACACUUCUACAGCUCCAAAAUACAGAUCUAGAUCGUUUCCAUGGUCCAUUUCUAUAAAGUUGGAGACUUAAUAGCUUUGCACACCUGAAAUAGACCUAAACUCAAUAUAUAGCAACCUACUUUCAUGAAUAUGACUAUGGCUUGGAUGAAAAUGGGUUCAAGACCCUCUUUAUGGAUCUAGAGGCUCAAAAUCACAGAAAAGGAGAAUUGUUUUGCAUGCAAUCCAUGAGGACCACUUUUCCUAAUCUAAAGAGUCAAAAGGACCCAUGAAUCAUCCUACAAAGAUAUUGAAGCUAUAGUUCAUCAAGCUAAGAGCUUUUUACCUCAGAAAGCUGCCCAAGAUGAUUAUACUUCUGGAUAUUUUUCUUCUUCCACAGCCUUGCAAGCUCCAAGCUCUACCAAGUAACUCCAACAACACAAAACACACUAAAAAACUCAAGGAAGAGGCUCACAAUUGAAUUAGGGUUUCUGGAGGACAUGGAGGCUGAUGAGGGAGACCCAAAGGGAGAUUAAGAGGUUUAAAUAGGGUGCAAAACCCCGAAAUUAGGGCUUCCUACAGGCAGGCCUACUCGUCGAGUCCAUGCUUGGACUUACCGAGUGGACUCUUUAAACCCCGCGUCUAAUGUGGCAUAGACUUGACGAGUUAGGGCCACCAAAUCGUCGAGCAACUCGAAUAUAAAUACUUGAUAAAUUAAGAAAUUGCAUAUCAGGAACGGGGCGUUACACUUCAAUAAAUGACUUCAUCUUGAGCAGUUGGACAUUUCUUCAAAAUUUGACUCGGAACGCACCUUAAGUGAGGAUGCUUCAUGAAAAUCAACACCUUCAGCUUGAUAAUAUUCAAAGAGAAUAUCAGAGAGAAUAAAUCUUCUAGAUCACUUCAGCAGGUUCAUAGAUAGUAGCCAAUUGAUUGAGGAGGCCUGAAUUCGAUAUGUCACAUAAAGAACAGCUUCACCUUGCUUAUAAGAUUGAAAGAUUGAAAGUUGAAAGAAUAAUCUUCAUUUCUUGCUCCUUCGAAUGAGAAUUCUUCGACGAUCACGGAUGAAGCUUUGGCUCAGAAAACCUUCGAUACAGUCUCUAUGAGUCUCAUCUACAUCUGAAUUCACUUUUCAAGACAAACAAAACUAAAAUAAAAUUUAGUACAUAAUACUUUUUGAAUUUUCUGAACAAGAAAUAAAACUUAAAUAACACUAUUUUUUUAAUUUUCUGAUUUUUGUUUGAUUUUUGAUUUUUUUUUAAUUUUUUCUCCCCCUAAAUUUGUGCAUAGAGGAAAACUAUGAACAAAGUUAUCAAAAACAAAAAUAAUAACCAAAUUUAAAGCAUUUUGGGAUCAAAGUUCUUAGACAGCAUUAAUUCGUUUUUCAGUACCUCCCCCUUCGUGAAUAGAUCUAGUCAAUCGCCGGUAUUGUGGUCCACUUAAGCUUGAAAAAUUUGUGACAUAUUUUAGACAUACUACAAGUGAUAAGACAUUUGACCCUAUGUUCCUAGAUAGUAUUCCUAAAGGACCAUUCAACUGACGGCAACCAAGGAUAUUAUUGUCCACCUAAAUUGAGCAGCGAGAUCUACAGACAACCUAUUAUUUGUUUAAUUUUAGUUGUACUAGAACAUGUUUCCUGCUUCCAGAUAUACCUCAAUAAUCAAGAACUUCCGAGAUACUCCUUACUUUAGGUGAGUAGACUGUUAUCAAGAGAGAAGAUAGAUUUAGACUGCAUAUGUUAAACACCUAGGUUAGAUCUCUUCCAAUCAUGGAGAGGGGUUAACAUACGACUAACCAGAAGUAGAGGGGUUUAGAGGUAGAAUGGUGCAUAUGCUGUGUUCCAAGUCGGGUAUAUUCCAAUCACGUAGAGGUGACAUCAUAUGGCUAACAGAUAGGAAGAAUUGCAUAGAUAAAUAAUGCUUAGAAAUAGAGUUGCAUAUGUUGCACUCUAGGUUGGAUAUAUUCCAAUCACACAGUGCAUGCAACAUAUGAAUGACAAUAAGAAAGAAUGAAAAUAAUUUUCUACAGACCUACUUUAUCGGAAUUCCCUAGUCACCCUAUCAAUACCGGAAUUAAGCACAUGAGUCCAUACAUCAAGGAAAAGUUAAACCACAGUUCUAGAUACUGAUUCCUUUAAUGUAUCCGGCAGGUUCUCAUGUUUAUCUCCCUACUCAAUCUACCUGAACGUCGUAUUGUCAGGCUAAAUGGAACUAUCUAAGUCAAGAUAUAUCAAGUAUCUAGAUUCCUUAAGUUCAUCUCAGCCUAGUCAAGUCCAUUAAAAUCUUUCGUUCCUACCAGUGCAUCGAACACAGAGCCUAGACAAUUCAGCUUUGGUACUUUAUACAAAUUCAAAUUGCCUGUUAUCACUCAAUUCAUAUCACUUCCCAAUAAUACCUACUAACGAGAAACUAUAAGAAAAUAAAAGAUUGUCUUAAAAACGAAUCAGUUUAAGAUAAACUUAGGAGUAUGGAAAAGAAAAAUCAAACCGUAAGUCACCGAUUGAAUUUGCAUGCAGAAGGUCUGAGAAUGGAAUGCAUAAUAUCAGAAAAGAUUCAAAAAUUCUUCACAUCGUUAAGCACAAACCCCAUGUGUGAUCCUCUCCUUUCUUCCUUUCCCGUAAAGGACACAUACUCUCAAACAAAGUUCUGAAUGUUUUACAGUUGAGAGAUAUCUCCUAUCAUGUGCAUGGACAACCACUCUCAUCAAACUGGAGUCUGAUGAUAUACCUCCAUAGGUGUUUCGACACAGAGCGGGAUCAGUUGGUCUUUGGAACCCAGUCCAUUUUGAAACUAGGUCGACCUUUGUCUUAUUUUUAAGUACUCUCUCCCAUGACAUCAUGUUUAUCACAAACAGAAGAUGAAGAAAUAUUAGAUACAUUAGAUGAUUUAGGAGGAUUGAACAUUAGGUACCCAUUUGUAGUCAGUUUUAACCCGUUUCUUGUUGGAUCGGAUGGGUGCCUCGUUACUUGCUUUUGAACUUGAAGUCGGCUGUCGAGAUGAGUUUGACCUAACCUGUCUUUGUUUCACUGGAGCAUCUCUUGGGUUGGACUUCUUGGCCAACAUUCACUUCCUCUUCUUGUUCUUGGCCGACAUUCCCUUCUUGUUAUUGGACUUCUUGGCCAACAUUCCCUUCUUGUUAUUGGGUUUAACACAUUUAUUGUUGGAUUCCCGGCCUUCUGCACGUUCCAGUCACCAUUGCAUGAUUGUGACCUCUAAUGAUUUCUUUUGGAUAAUCUCCCACUUUGCACGUUCUACUAGCCUUUUGUGUAAUAGGGAACAUAUGCACGAUGAGGGCAAUUUUUGGCAAUGUGUCCAGGUGUGUUCCUUAGUGAAAACAAGUCUUUUUCUUCACGUAGGAAUUGUUUCUGCUUGCCCCUGGUGGCGAACCCUUACCUCGUUUCUGGUUGUUCCCACAUCCACACUUGCUGCAGGAACUUAGUUUAACUUGUGUUGGUGGGCUGUAUUUACCAACAACAGGUUAAUAAGAAGCAACUGAGCUCAAAGCAGCAGAUUCAGAGUUCAAGGAGUCAUUGGUUUGUUCAAUAGUGUUCUCGUUGUUCUCAUCUUCCGCUACUUUACCUGCACAGGAAGUAGAAACAUUAGUAUCUUAUCUCAACACACUCAGUUGGCCCUAAUUGUUCAGUCUUAACUGAAGUUGGUGUAGGGGGUUGGCUAUAGUGUAGGUGUGCUUCAUUUUCAAUUUCUUCCUUAGUCAGAGGGGUGAAAGUGUAGGUAUGAUUGAAAGGAGGAGGAACACUUUCAUACCCUAGACCCUUUUGUUGGUUAUAUUUUAAUUUCAAACAAUUGUCAAUCAUGGACACAAAUACCUCACUUGACACAUCAAAUUUCUUAAAGUUGAAUUCAGCAUCUUUAUAUUUGGCUUUUAAUGCAUCAAGUUCGGCAGUCAUAGCGGCAAGCUCUUUCAGAAGAUAUUUAUAAUUGACCCACUUGUUACUGUAUUCUUCUUGUAGUUUUCAGAAGUCCUUGGUUUUGGUCUCUAAUUGUGCUUUUAGGGGUUUUUGAUAUUUCCUAAGGGUAUACCUAUCAUAUUUUAGGUCCUUAUUUUCUCUUUUUAGUAUAUCUAUUUGUACACGAAGAAACUUAAUCGUAGUUUAACAAGAUUGAGAGCAUGAAACUUCAUUGACUAGAAGGGAUGCAUAACUCAUUAUUUUCAAAAAUGCCCUUUGACUUAAAAACUCAAAAGUCAACCUUAAAAGUCAAAUUUAAAAAGUCAAACUUACAAGUCAAGGUCAAAAUUUUAAGUCGAAAGCCAAUUUUGGAAGCUAAAAUUUUAAAAGUCAGAACUUUUGGUUGAAAAUGAAAUUUUAAAAUUUUAAAAAUUGAUUUUUGGGCAAAAGGUGUCAAUAUUGCAAAAUUGGAUCGAAAUUGCAAAGCCUUUUGAAUUAAAUCUAGAAAGAGAGUAACAUCUAUCAAGCUAGAUGAGUUGGUAAGACGGUGGGGAGGAAAGAAUUGGAGACCCGGGUUCGAAUCCUAGCAACUCCCAAAAUCCUUUUGAUUAUUUGUUGCUGCUGCAAAGACUAUAUGAUUAAAAAGGGGAGAAUGUUAAACAUCUCGCAAGGUAGAUGAGCUGGUAAGGUGUGGGUUGAUGAUGCGAGAGGUCGUGAGUUUUAUCCUUGCAACCCCCAAAAUCCUUUUGAGUAAAUGGUCUCGAACACAUGCACGCUGCGGACCGCAAACGUCUUGGGCCGAACACCUUCUGGGUAGUGAACUGUCCGAGGACCGCAAACUCUCAUGGGCCGUAAACGAACUUCAGGCCGUGAAAGCUUCUUCGGGCCUUGAAAGCUUCUUCAGACUUGAGGUUGUGAAAGCUACUUCGAUUGGCCAUGAACCAUUUUUAUGAAAAACACGAAGAACAACCCCCCUAUUUUGCCAAGAACUAUUCGAAAAUGAAAAAAUCUUCAAGAAAAAGAUAAAAAACGCUCCAGAUCUGCCAAAUUAAUUGAUACAAUCCAAACUUUGAUACCAACUGUAAAGUCCCAAAUUUUCUUGUGUAUCAAUCAGAUCCAAUUGAUGGUGUGGAAUCCCAAUCAAUUGGAUGAUGCAAGAUCAAUAUAAGAAGGAGAAGAAGAAGGAAAUAGAUGAAUCUUGAAUGAUUUGAUGAUUAUAAUUAUGAUCCUUAAACAACAUUCACUUUCUCUCUCUAAAACACCUUGAGUUACACACACUUAAGCUCCUUUCUCUUUCUCUUGUCGUACACUGCUUCUAUGUCCUCCCGUCCUCCUAUGCACUCCUCACCCUUACAACUAUAUAUAGGGAACAUUGGGCAUGAACAGGUUCAUGGUCGUGAACCAAUUCACGGCCGUAAACACCACUUGGGCCGUAAACACAACCGCAAACAUUUAACAAUAUCAAUACAAGAUUAAGAAAAAGAGUUUUCACUGUCCUAUGGCUUUGCAGACUCUGGGGUAGUCUGUACCAUAAAAGCAAAUUGCAGUUCCAUCAUUUCUUCUUCCGGGUCCACCUCAACUUUCUCCUCUAGGACGUCAUUGAUCUAGGCCAGGUGAGCAUUUUUCAGGUCCUGAGAUGUUCAGGGCCCAAAUCUAAUCCUCCCAGUCAAACAACCGAGACACCACUGCCAGAUUCACUAUUUGAUUAUUGGUGGUAGCUCCCCUGCUGCUUCCUACUGGAACCAUGGUUCUUUUACUGUUUUCCCUCCUUUCUAGCUUUGGUCAGUCUUUGGAAAAGUGACAAGGUUUAUGGUAAGUGAUGUUAGAUUAAUGUCUAAGUCCAUAACUAUAAUUGGUAUGUACUUGACCCGACUUGGUAUGGUCCAUUUGGGUUGCACUUCACCGAAACAAUUUAUAUGGAUAAUCCUUUGAGAAUAGCAUGCUUAUGAUUUAUAUUAAUAUAUUAUAAGUUCUAAUAUAAUAUAUAAUCAUACUAUUUAAUUAGUAUUGAUCAAGAAUUAAUUUAUAAUUAAUAAUUGAUCAAAAUGAACUAAUUAAAUAUGGAAUCUUAGAUAUAUAUGUGUAGUGGGCCAAGUUCAUUUAGGUUGGGCUAAGUCUUCAUGGAUAGUCCAUGGAGCUUUAACCCAUGGAUCCUAGGAAAUGAAAGGUCAUGGGUAUUAGGGUUUAACCCUAAUCCUCCACACUAUAUAAAGGGUCUUAUGGUUCAUGAAAUUGGGCUAGUGGCUAGUGUGGAUACACUAAAGAGGGCAAUAACUGAUUUCAUAAGUGUGAGACAAGUAUCCAUAUUCUCUAAAGAUUUUCCAAGGUGUUUUGGUGAUUUGUGAUUCCACUUGAGGCUUGCACACUAUUGGGGCUAAGCUCUUAAAGUUCAAUACUUCAAGCUUCAUUAAAAGGUAUGUAUUCUAACUUGUUAUGUUACCCAAGUAUCAAGGAGUGUAUGCUAGAUAGGGUAAUACCUUGGAAUAUUCAUAUUUGCAUGUAUAAUCGAGAAAACAUAGAUACAAGGUAUUUAGGGUUGCAUGUACACUUAAGAGUGUUAGAAUGCUCAAAACCCAACAGUGGUAUCAGAAACAUGGGUUGUUUUUUGUUAUAUUGAUGCAAAUGUUUUAUUUUCAAAGUUGAAAAAAAAAGAAAAAAAAAAAGAUGACGUUUGUCAAAUUUUAAGAUAAUUACUUGUUUUUAUUGAAAAACUAAUUAUUUGUAAAAUUUGAAUCAUUUGCUAUAUGAGUUGAAUUAGGUCAAAUUUAGUAAAAGAUAAAAUGAUAUGAUUAUUUUAUUAGUUUUAAAAGUUUGAUCUAAAGAGUGUUUUUUUAAACCUCCAUAUGUUAUGGAUAUGAAAAGGUUUUAAAAAAAUUGAUUCAAAGUUUUUUUAUGGAGUUACAAAAUUUGAUGUUAAUGUUUUAAAGAAUUCCAUAACUUGUUCUUAAGUUAUGGAACAUGAAAGGUUUCAUCAUAGAACAAGCAUUUAACUCCAUAAGUUAUGGAUUACCAAAAGUUUUAUGUUUCCUUGAUUUAUGAGUUAGUUUAGAUUAUUGAAAAAAAAUUGUGUUCUAGUUGUUUUCAAUCCUAAUUAAUCUAGAGGUAGUUCAUAAAACGUGCUUUUGUAACUUUUCCUCAAGUUACAUAAAAGGUUACAUUUAUGAAUCUUAAAACUCAUAAAAGUGUCAUAGGUUACAUAAAAAUGAAGAGUGUUUUUCAUUAUAUAGUAUUAUGACUCCAUAACUUGUCCUCAAGUUAUGGAUGUUUAAGAGUCACUUCUUUAAAAGUGUUAUUAAAAAAUAAGAGUUUACAUAAAAAAUGAAGAGACUUCAUUUUAAUUAACCAUUAAAAUCAUAAGUUAUGAAAUGAAAAGUUUUGAAUAGUUUCAAAACUUGCCCUCAAGUUUUGGAAUUUGUAAAGUUUUCUCAUGAAUACUUUAAUUCCAAGUUAAGCCCUUAGAAUUUUAAAAGUUAAAAUUCAACCCUUAUACUUUAUAAUAUUAUAAGUUAAUAAUAUUUAUAUAUGUGUAUAAGAGCCAGUCGUAUUACCAUUAGUAGGCCUCAUUCACGAAGCCGAUUUAUAAGGGGGUAUAAGGUUACUGCGUAUAAAAUGGCAGUUUAAUGGGUGUCCACUCUUACCCACCACUUUAUUGACUAAUGGAGGGUCGUUAGCCGAACGGGUAGGACAAGGACUAUAAUUAUCCCUUCAUUAAAAGUAUUAAUGAUAAAUAUAAAGUAACUAAAUGUUUUUUAUAAUUCCCAAUCUUAGUUACUUUAGGAAAAUGUGAAUAAGGUGCUAAUCCAUGAAAUUACACUUUGCACUUUGUUUAAGUCGGUUAGUGGAGCAUGUGUGGUUAACCGGCACACUAACUUGUAUUUAACAAGGUAGGAAAAGGGUACCUUAAUGUUUAUCAUAGUAUCGAUGGAGCGUGUGUGGUUAACCGACACAUCGAUUGAGGGGUAAACACUUAAGAGUACCAAGUAAUUUGCAUGGUUACUUCACACCUUGUUUUGUUAUCCUCAACAUCCUAGUCAGAAAACCUACAGGGCACACUCGAGAUUGAAACAUGCCAUUGAACAGUUCAAUGAAUCUCAAAAGAUCUAGGAGUUUCAAAUCCAAGUAAAACCUAAUUAAAUUAUUUCGUUUUCAUGGUGGAAAUUGGUGAAUCAUCAUUCACCUACCUUCAGAUAUUCUAUAGCUUGGAUUACGGCAUCCCUCUUCCAAGUUAUAAAAUAUUGUGUUGGGUCCUAGCCUUAAUAUUUCAUAUUGAGUGUUAUAUUAAGGACUUCAAAUCAACUACCUUGAAUAUCUCCGAAAAAGAGGUCUAGUUCAGACAUCUAUGAUCUUCCCAAAUCUCUUGGAACUUCACUUCCACCACAUCCUCCAAUUAUCCUCCCUAAUCCACAUGUUCAAGGUCACUCAAGCCCUAUUGGAAAGCAAGGUCUAUCUGGAAUCGCAUCAUGGAGAUGAAGUCACAUAUUGACAAGCCGGGAGAGUUGCGUGUUAAAGUCUUAAGGAAGUUGUAUGUGCAAUCACUUUCUAAGUCACAUAGUGAGUUCCUUUGGGACUACUAUGAAAUAGACUACGACAUGAUCCAUAAUGAUCUUUUCUAUUUGCUUGGUACUGCUAAAUCAAAAAUGAUUUGGAGCUUUAGUAAAGCAAAUUUGAUUAGUAGAUCAACUUUCCAAACCUUCAAUGGGCAUUGCCAAUGGUUGCAUCGGAUACCCUGUAAAAGCCUUCUCUUCCCAAUGGAAAGUGAUUGGCCAUAGUCAACUCGGUUGACCAAAUGGUAAAGAGAAAGGCUAAGUAUGAGAUUGUCCCAUGUACCAUUCCCAAAGGAUCCAUAUGGUUCUAUUUCCAAAAGGAAAGGGCAUUGGUUGCGAAGCUGCCAAAUUUACCUGUAAGAUCAUAAGGCUGGUAAAGUCAAUAAGUUUGACUCUACUUCAGGUAAAGUCCACUAUCUAACUCGAUUAAGUUUCUAUUAUGAGAUUCUUAUUACAUGAUGUGACUAGCUCACAUGUUGAUGUUUUAAGAGUCAAAGGAAAAGUGAAGGAAACUUAAAGAAAGAGUAUGUUGAAUCUGAUCGUGAAGAUGGAUUUCUGUCACUUGAUUGAAGAUCAGUUUCUUAAGCUACUCUUAGGAGUUAUGAUAGAUUGCUAGGAAACAUGUAAUAGUAUAGUUUUCAUUUAAAGUUGCAUUGUAAGGAAAAGUUUUUUCCGCAUUUUAUAAAUAAAUAAAAGUUUUUUUUGUUUUAUUUUAUAUCUCCUUACAAUGGUAUUUAUGAAAACUUGAUGUUUGUAUGUUUCUAGCAAUAUUGGAAAUAUGAAUUUAAUUCUUUCUUUUGUGGUAGUGUCUAAAUUUACCAAAUAAGGAAAGAUUCUUAUCACCCAAGUUUCAAUUAGACUGAAAUAUGGAAUCAUGCAAGUUGUAUAGUAUGAUGAAUGAGAAGUUUCAUUUUUGGAAAAUUAAGACUAGUUCCUUGUUCACAUGUAUAUGUGACUCAAGUGAAGGACUAAGGGAUCAAGUACACAUUCUUGUGCACUAGUCAAAGUCCACCACAAAAUAUCGAUAAGAAUAUUCGUCAUGAUUUACUAAAGUUUAGUAAAUAUGGUUAUACUUACAACCUUAAGUAUAACUCCGCGACAUUGGAAAAGUUCCAAAUGUAUGGCAGAGCGAAUAAAAAUAAUCAAAUUAGGUAGAAGGAUAAAAGUUUCUCAAAUCUGAAAAGAUGGGAGAGUACUUUAGUAUUAUGUUAUAUGAUCAUCUUAAUGAUUAAGAGACCUUAUCACAGUUCAUCCUCUAAGUGCAUUCUGAUAGCUAAGAAGAGGAGCUAUGAAUUGUUGAAGUGGUCAAAUCAAGAAGAUGAUUCAUACUUCGUUCCAAAAACAAUUCUUAGAGUCAUACUCCAAGAUUGUAACUUGAGUGACAUAUCUUAAACAAAGGUUUAUUAACACUAGUCAAAUGUAAGAGUAAAAGUAUCCAACUCUUGUACAUUUGUAAUUGGUAAGUUGUGAUGUUUUGGAUAAAACAAAGACCAACUAAGACCAAUUGCGUGAAGUGUUUGUCUUGAUAAAGAAUCCGCACUAUCUCUUGAAUAUUAGGUGAGCGAGUCUUAUAUGUCAAGAGGACAGUGGGAGUCUUAAAGAUCAUGAAAGAAUUUCAAGAUCUAAUCAAGAGUAAAACCUAUAGUUAAUCACUAGCACACGACGUGAGGUUUAUAACAUAUCGUGUUGACAUAUUCCUAUUUCUAUUCCCAUUUUAGUUAAAGUUGGCUUUGCAUAUGAGUUCUGAGAGUUCUCAAUUGGUUGCAUAACAACUUGGAAGCAAUGGCAGGCCGUUGUGUUGCCAGGUGGCAAGAAUUUAAGAUUGCACAAGUUCAGUCCCUUUGAGUUUGGAUUUGUCAUUAACCUUGUCUUGUGAUUAUCGUUUGACAAAUUCACAUGGAUAGGAACUGAUACACCACAAAAUCUAAGGGUCAUAAGGUUUCUCUCCGAUUCAUGAAAAUGAUGGUGAGGAAACACUUCCACCAAGUAGAUUUUAAGUAAAUAGCAAUUGUGAUAUUUGCAAUUCUCAAAGUCGUUAGUGGUUACCCGACACACUAACAUGGACUUAGGAGAAAUGGCAAAGGUCUAAACAAUUCAGACUAUGAUUACAACAUCCAUUUUCAUAGUUCUGAAUUUGUUUAGACACGCCUGUGAGUUAUCUAAGAGAGGUUUAUGAUUUUGAUAAAGUCUUAUCAAAGCAAUCUAGUAUCAGAAAUCUAAACUUUGGUAAGAAAGUCAAUAAAGUAUUGAUUUCUAGAAGUCCAGCUAAUUUUUGGAUACAUGUCAAAGCUAGUGGGAGCAUAAGUGUUAUACUAAUAAUCAUCAUGUUAGUGGGAGCAUGAUAAUUAUGAUAAGUAUUGCAAGUUAGCAAUGUUAAUUAUAGAAAACAAAAGUUUCAAUUCGUGAGGUUGCAGGGGUGGAAAAGUUGUUUUGCUAUAAUUAAGGGAGAGGAAAUUAUAUUUCAUUUCAAUUCUAAAAGGCUUAGAUUGAGAUUUUAAUCAUCUUAGUCAAGAAUAUAUAUAUAUAUUUUAUGUUGGNNNNNNNNNNNNNNNNNNNNNNNNNNNNNNNNNNNNNNNNNNNNNNNNNNNNNNNNNNNNNNNNNNNNNNNNNNNNNNNNNNNNNNNUAAGAAAAUUCUAUAUAUUGCGUUCUCAAAAUUCGAUUAUGAUUAUGACAUCCCUCUUCAUAGUCAAAUUUUGAAAACAUGGAAAAUAAAAAAUAUUGUAGCAAAAGACUGGUCUAGAAUCAUGUCUUUAUGUGACAUAUCAUGAAUCGUGUCCCAUUUGCUUAGGGUACAGGAUCAAUUGCAUGUGCUAUAAUAUUUAUCCUUUCUAAAUUUUCCAAAUGCCUGGGGCAUUAAGAGGAAAAGGUCUAGAAUUGGAUAUGACUAAAAUGAUUAAGCAAUUGUCGAGGACAAUCUAUGGUUUACCAAAGAUUGGCUGCUCAGGGACAGUUGGAAGUAUAGUGUCAAAAUGGGAAUAUGGAAAUGAUUCCAUCGGUGGAAGUUACUCAAUUUGUGUAAGAUUAGAAAACUUAAUGCAAGAAGGAUGUUUCCCAUGGAAUUGAUCUCCAUUGGAAUACUCUAUAAUGUCUUUUGAAACGUCUUUGUGACUUUGUGCAAAGUCAUUACAAGAGGAUCUGUGCAUAUAAGUUUAAAAUCUAACAGAUUUCGAUAAAUGAUAGGAAUUUGAAAUUCUUAUGUUUUCGAUAAGGAUUUGGGAGUGUGAAAUUAGAAUCAUUGAAAUUAUUUUCAAUUGGUUUAUUUCACAAAGUAAGGAUCAUAGACAAACAUAAAGUGCAUACUUAGUGUAUGGCAAAGCUAUUGUUUAGAAAAACAUAGGGUACAUGCUUGGAGCAUGGGACAACUAGUGUUUUACUUCAAGUAUAAAGUUGAUAAAACCGAAACAAUGAAUAAUGAGUAAUCAGUAUGGUGAUAAAUAAAAGGUGUUUUAUUUAUAUUCAUAGGGUACAUGCUUGGAGCAUGUACUUUUCCAUGCGGUAUUUCCAUUCGGGGAAACCCUCAGCAGAUAGCAGACAUGGAAUGCACAUAGUUGUGCCCAUAACGGAGUCCAAUUCUUGAUGAACUUAUGAGUUUUGUGAAUCCAUUUUUGUUUGCUUUUGGUUUUUCUUUGAUUAAACAAAUAAAACUAAUAAGAAAAGUACUAAAACAGAAAGUGUUCAAAUGAUCAAGAAGGGGGUUCACGGUCGUACACUUGAUCACGACCGUACACACAAGUUAAUUCACGGUCCAAGGGUUGAACACGUUCAAUGAAUGGUUUACGGCCAUACAAAAUGGUCAAUGAAUGGAUCACGGUCACGAGAUGAACACGGUCAAAUGGGAUGAACGGUUCACGACCGUACACACUUAUUCACGACCAUACACACUUCAACAGAGUGAACCGUAAACACAUAGAAUCACCAGAUUUCAAGAAUAUUUUGAUCCUCUUAGCCUUCAAAACAUGAUCAAAUCAGAUAUCCAACAAACGAGUUCAAAAAUCCUGAGAGUGAAUAUAAAAACUCCAACCGUAAACACUUCUUGAAGACUUUGACACUGGAUUUUGCUCUGAUACCAAUUGUAAAGUCCCAAAUACAAGGAACCAAACCAGUGAUCAAACAAUGAACAAUCAAAAUGAAUAAGAAUGGAGUAGAAGAAGGAUUUAAUUAAGCAAUGCACACAUUUAUUAGCUAAAACAUCAGGUACACCUUGAAACACACACACAAACAUGACCGUGAACUCGACUACUUCUGUUCACUGACAUUUGACACCUAUAUAUAGGACAAGACCAACCGAACACAGUUCAUGGCCGUGAACACCUACACAGGUGCCAAAACAUGUUAAACACAACCAAAACCUACCAAGUCUUAUACAUAAAGAAGCCUAGCCCAAAACAUAAAAUGUGACCUAACAGUGCAUGUGCUCUUCGUGUUCUUUGUGUUUUAAAGAAGAUUUGGAGUGAUUUCGGUUGAUGAUUUGAAGAAGGUAAGGUGAUUCACACUAAUUUGGAAGAAUAUAACAAGGUUUCACCAAGAUCUUCAAGAGAUUUCUAUGAUUUCUCAAGGAAAAGAUGAUGAAAUCGAUGAUAGUUAAGAGAGAAUGGAGAGUUUUCGGCCAGAAAAUGAAGAAGUGAUGGUGGUUUUCAGUCAGCCUUCUGUAAAUACUCCUUGAGUUUUGGGCCGAAAACACCAUUUGAGAGGGUUUGUGGCUACGAAUGGUUUGAGGCUGCAAACCAUUUGCGGUCAAAGGAUUUUAGAGUCGACAACUUCGUUUUCGGUCCGAAGCGUUUGCGGCUGAUACGAGGGUUCUCAGUUCCAUUUAGAUUUUUUUCACUUCUUAUUCAUACAACACUUUACCAAGUAUUUAUAUGCAUCAAAUAUAUUAAGUUAAUUUUUAAUAAAUUAAUGUGUUCACUAAGUUUGACCUUUAUUUGUUGGGUUUGACUUGAGUUGACUUUUAUUGACUUUUUAUAAAGAAGAAAAUAACGGGUUGUCACAUUAUCCCGUCGUUAAAGGGAAUUUCAUCUCGGAAUUAGAAUUUUGAGUGAGACUUCAAGGGUUGGAAAGGGACGGCAUACUUAUAUUACUAUUGAUCUAUUCUUCUUCUUGUGAAUACAGUCUCCGAUUAGCGUUCUAGUGGCUCUCCACUGUUGCGUCUGCUAUUUUGAUCGGUAAGGAGUGUGGUGGGUUUGGUUCACUUGACUAUCUUCCCCCAAGUGGUGGCAGAGCCACUCGUAGUCUUGGGUAGGUUUUGUCUUUUAAGUUCUUAGUAAGACUCAUACCAUGCUCAUCUAUCUCAUCCUCGUGUAUACAAGCGUAUGUAAUUAAGAUUAGUAAGACAGUCAGAUGUGUAACUCUGCCUCAGGUCCACAACCAGAUGACGAAUAGGAGAUAGGGUGGAAACACACAUCCUAAUUCCAUAGAAUCUUAAUUAUAUACCACCCUCGCGUACACACUUAUCAUUGAUAGAUUAGUUGUAUGGGUCCUUAGUCUCUAUACUUGAACUUGACCUGCUAUACGAGUGGUAUUCCUAAGAGGUCUACUGGGAGUACUUUGAGAAGGUUAUGGGAGGUAUGGUACAUCUUGCAUGACUACUUCGAAGUUUCGAAACGAGAGACGAUUCUGAGGUCUGUGUCGGGUUUGUCGUCUUGAAUGACGAGGGUUUCGUUAGUCGGUCGGUUAAGGUGAAGGGUUUUCAUAGCCCAUGAAAUUAGUAUGGUGAGGACCACACCAAUCCAUGUCAAAUGAUGAAAUCAGGACUCUUUAUUGGAAACAAAUGUUAAGUUGAUUUGGAAGAAACGUUCGUUAGAGAGAUAAUGUAUACUAUGUGUACUUUCUAGUGUUUCCAAUUUUAUCCUUGUUAUUACCACUGCAAGCACUUUGUACCGCGCUAAGUGAGUACUGGUAGUAAGAGUGUUUUGAGAACUAGUGAUGAUACUUCAAAAUAUAAUCCCUACAAGGUUCCUCUAUAAAGGCUUGGUGUAUACAAGUCAUGUAUAGUUAAGAUUGAUAAGACCGUCGACUGGGUGACUCUGCCCUUCAUCCACAACUAGACAAGGGAUAGGAAGUAAGGCAGAAUCACACACUCUAAGCCUGUAAAAUCUUAAUCAUAAAUGACCCUCAUGUAUACACUAAGCUAUCAUUGCUCACCAACAAGGAUCCUUAAUAUUUAUAUGAAUACUAUGAUUUUGUUAGGACGAGAGAGUAAUUUAAUUACUUUUAAUUGACACCCCUUUUAAUAGAAAUUUAAGCUUUAAAACAAAAUUUUUGUUAGGAAAACACAUCGCUGUUCACAGUAGUUCCAGGACAGUCUCUCUUGCGGUGAUCAUCAACACUCUUCCAUCUCCACCAGAAUUUUUCGUUAUUGGACAAUCCCUCUUAUAGUGUUCGAUUUCGCCACACACGUAACAGGCCUGUCUUACUCCAGUAGUGGGGACCUGGGAGAUUAGUUGUGCCGGUGCCCUACAGAAACGGGCAGUGUGCCCUUUUCUAUUUCAAUUUUUGCAAUGCAUCUCCUGACAAGCUCUGGUGUGGUGGUAGUUACACUUGCUACACUUUGGAAGAGUUCUAGCAUAUUGACAGACAUGGGCUGGAGUGGCAGGUGUUGUUGCAACAUAAACGACAACAAUUUGUUGCUUCUUCGGGGGUUCUUGUGUGGGUUGCCCCUUUUUCUUGAUCCAUGGCUUUCUCUUAUAGUCACUUCCUUUAGUUGGCUUAGGAAUGGGGGUCAUCACGCCUUGGCGGACUCCAUGGUCGAUGAGUCAUUGGGCCAAGUGUUUGGUGCUAUCGUAAGUAGUCGGGUUAGAAGGCAGUACAUUUCCUUGAAUUUGGUGAGAUAACCCCCAGAUGUAUGUUUCUAUCUUCAUACUCUCUGGGAUCAGCAUCCCUGGGCACAGUGUUGCCAGGUCACUAAACCUGUUAGUGUAGGACACUAUGUCAGAGCUGGUCAUGGUAAGGUCCCACAACUCUUGUUCCAACUUUUGUGCUUCGCCCCUAGGGCAGUAUUCUUCCAUCAUCAUUUCUUUCAUGUUCUCCCAGCCCAAUUAGUUAUCCACUGAUAAUUUUAGCGACUUAACACGGCUAUUCCACCAUGUCAGGGUUCUACCGGAGAAGGUGUAGGCAGCAAAUUUCACUUUGCUCCCUUCUGGGCAUGUGUAGAUCUCGAAAACUAAUUCUGUUUUCUCGAACCAUUGCAUUAUAGUAAUGACUUCCCCAUCUCCCUUAAAGGAUUUGGGUUUGCAGUUCAUAAAGUCUUUGUACGAACACUCCCGUGGGUGUCCGUAAGUAUAUCCGUAGUUAGUUGGGUGAGCACCACUACCAGAUCCACUGGUGACACUCGUGCAAAUUUGAGUCAUAGCGGCAGCCACUGCGGUGGUUACCGCAGCUUGAAAAGCAACAAGGUCUUGCUGUGGUGGUGGAGGUGGUUGAGUUGUCGUCGUGUUAUUGAUGACACGCCUCCUAGGUCUACCAGGAGGCAUUCUUUUGCUAUAAAGUUUACAAGAUGAAACGGUGGUAAGUCUUUAGUAGUGGCUUUAAGUCGAUUGUUAUUUACACUAAGUUAUCUUAGUUCUGAGUGUAUCGUGUUCCGACUUUUAUAGUGUUAUGAAAAUAAUUCUUAAAUGGAGUCUAUGUAAAAUAAACUUAUGAAUUUAUAGUAGUGAUUAUCCUUAACUGAAAUUUUGUGACCUGGUUUAUUGUUACUAGUUGUUACGAAAGAUAUAGUAAACGUAACACAUAGUGUGGGUAGUGAAAUCACUAACUCACUAGAUUACAUUAGUUCUAUAGUUAUGAGUGUGAUGCAUAAGAUGUUUGGUCUCUUCGCAUGACUCGUGAGUAGUUUCCUCUGUCCUCUGUCCCUACUAUGAUUUCCCUAGUUCCAGCUGUAAAGAUAUAUUGUCUUCGAACAUCCAUAUGGUUUUCUUGUUCUUCAUAGGUGUGUUAAUUCUUUGGCUGAUUCCUUAUCGUAAUCCUCCUCGUGAACCUCUUGUUGUUCUUUUUUGACUCCCCUAUUGACUGUUUUAGUGAGGUGGCUAUAUCUAUCUAUGUGGUUCGUGCGAGAAUAGGAAUGUCUAAAGAAUAUAUGAGAUUGAUUAAAACAAUUUUUAUCUUAUGGGGGUGAUCCUGACCGGGUCCUCCUAUAGGCACGUAGUGUAUACAAGUUGUACAUAACUUAAGAUUAAAUAGACCUUCGAAUAAGUGACCCUACUCUAAAACCACAACCAAACAAGGAACAGGAAGUAUAGCAUAGGUCACAAAUUUUAAGUCUAUAAAAUCUCAAUUAUACACAACUUUGGGAGUAUACACUCCGCAAUCAUAGACCUACCAGUAAGGGUCUUUUAGUUUUCACAUAUGUUAUUUAUAGUACCUAAAAUACUCCUAUAGUAUUUUAAAUUGUAUGUUUGAUUCUAUCAUUCAUUGGUAUAUGAACUUGGUAAGAUUUUAGACUUGUUGUUACCUUAUAGCUUCAUAAAAUACUCUUAUAGUAUUUUAACUUUGUGUUUUGUUCUAGAGAUCAUUUGUAUAUAGAGUUUGGUAAGUUUUAAGCCUAUUGAAACACCAUCAUCACUCCCAAAGACAUGUUGGUCGUAUCUCAAAUAAAUAUAGUUGAUCAGGCUAUAUUUAUCCCAAAUAUGAUUACAUAAUUGUAUAGGUUUGACCAUAGUGCCUAACAUUUAAAUACUUUUGUUUUGCUCUUCUUGUGAUACUUGUUCUAGUAUGUAUAAAUGCAUGUUUGUAUACUUAUAUUUUAAAAGUAUAACUCUUUGUCAGAGUAUUUUUAUCCCAUUGUGUUUAUAGUUGUAUAGCUUUUUUAUAGGUUGAUAUACUUAGUUCACUAUAAACAAUUCCCUGAUACCAGUAUGUCACACCCCCAAACCAGAACGGCAGAAAUGUACGGGGCGGAUGACGUCAUGUUCAGUAUCACAACAAAUGUAAAAUAGUAAAACAAACAACAACAUCCAUUGCAUUAAUAAUAUAGUUAUUACAUGUGUGUUCUUAGUAUAGUUUUUAUGACACCAAAAUGUAUAACAAAAGUUAAAGAUGAGUCUUGAAUAUGCUUCGUCUUCUCAAAACCCAUGUGAGUGUACUUGUCUACGGGUUCCCUGAGAAUACAAUUUAUUUUGAAAGAGAGUAUCAAAAUUUAAGUUGGUGAGUUCAUAAGUAUUUUGUUUUAGUUAUAAUCUUCUUUGUUCUUUGAAAACCUUAAUAUGUUCUUCCCGAAAAUCCUAUACUUUCUACUGUAAUAAUCGUAAGAAGUGCGAUCCAUACUAGUUCCUUCUACAAUCACUUAGUAGAUACCAGUUAUAUACAAACCGGAUCAAACAUACAAUUAUUUUUGUGGUUCUGCCCUAAGCCCACAACCAAACAAGGAACAGGAAAUGAGGCGAAAACCACACAUUCCAUUGUCUGUCGGAUCUACUUUGUAUGUAACCUUAACGUAUACACUAGGUAGUUGCAGAGUUAACUGUAAUGUCCUUUUGGAAAAAGUGAGUGUGUCCUUCCUUCUAUGAUCACUUAGUGUAUAAAAACUAUAUAUAAUUUAGAUCGAAUGAACAGUCGAGUGUGUAUCGGAUCUUUAUUAUAUAUAACCCUAGUGUAUAUAUAACCCUAGUGUAUACGCUAGGUGAUCACAGACAGUAAAGAUCUUUAUUGAAUAAAACCUGCCUUUAUUUAGAAACGUAAUGUAUAACAGUUGUAUUUGUAUGAAACCAUUUUUGUAGUAUGCAACUAGUUAAACUUUCUAUCAGAAAAGUAUGUUUUGUAAUGGAAAAUAGUAUACUGUACUCGUAUGUUAUGACCUCACCCUUACCUAUUUCCUCCUAUGAUUAUUUAGUGUAUACGAGUUAUAUAUAUAUAUAUAUANAUAUAUAUAUAUAUAUAUAUAUAUAUAUAUAUAUAACUAAGAUCAAAUGGAUAGUAGACUGUAUGAAUAUGCUCUAAGCCCACAACCAAACAAGGAACAUGAAAUGAAUCGGAAAGCACACACUCUACUAUCUAUCGGAUCCGAUUAAUAUAUAACCAUGUUGUAUAAAUCAAGGAAUCAUGGAGUUAACAAUAAGGGUCUUUUAUGUUCUAUUUAUUCGUAUGUAUGUUCCUAGCUUCAUCAUCUAUACUGUAAGGUAUAGGAUUAUAGUUUGUUAUUUGAAUAAACUAUAUGAAGUUAUUUAUGUAUUCAUACACUAAUCAUAUUGUUAAUACCAAAUUGUAGGUUCUUAUAACCAUACUAAUGACCAGGAUGGCCUGACUCGACGUUAUUCAAGCAUCAGAAUGUUUAUGACAUUUGUCACCCCAGAACUUCCGUUCAAACUUUAGCUAACAGUCUGGGCGCAGGAUUAUCAGUUCCGUAUAGAUCUAUACACAAACUCACGCUCUCCCUCACAGAGACCCUGGUUAUAAUAUCAUGGCUUUUUUGGCACUUAGAUAAGUACUUGAAAAUAACUCUCACAAAGCUAUAUCGACGGUUACGUGUAGAAUAUAGAAAAGUCUUUUUGUAAUGAUAAACCAUUUGUAUUACCCUUUUUAUAGUUAGAACCUUAGUUUGAAAGUUCCCUAAACUAUACCUAGUAUAGUUUAUAUGGAUAUUCGUUCGGAAUUGAAAGCUUUUGCAAUUUAACCAAAUGUAUAAAUAGUAAUAAAAUAAUUUAGAAAGUUACCCUUUUAUUCAACAUGAAACCAAAAUGGUUAAAGACUUAUAGCAAAUUCAUUUUAUACUUAUAUACAUAUCUUGCAUAUAUAAUUCAGACUAAAAAUGCAUUCGGACAAAUUAUUCUUCGUUAAAUCCACAACCAGACAAGGAACAGGAGUUAAAGCAGAGACAUUAGACCUAAUCCUGUUUAAAUCUCAAUUAUAUAUAUAUNNNNNNNNNNNNNNNNNNNNNNNNNNNNNNNNNNNNNNNNNNNNNNNNNNNNNNNNNNNNNNNNNNNNNNNNNNNNNNNNNNNNNNNNNNNNNNNNNNNNNNNNNNNNNNNNNNNNNNNNNNNNNNNNNNNNNNNGUGUUUUAACUUGUAUUCCACUCCCCCCCCCUCCCUAAAACUUUGAAAAACAAUAAAAAUGUAGUGGGUAUGAACUCACCUUUUGUGAGUUUCUAGUUAAAGAUAUGGUGUAGUCACAUUAAUUUCACAAGCUAGAACCUGCGAUAAAACUAAAUUCUAAUUUAUAUGAAUAUCAAAAUCAGGUAUAAAUUCGAUGUUAUAGUGAUGCUUAAAGUGCUAAACAACACUUAAUUAUUGUAAGAGGACUUACAAUAAUCCUUAGAAUAGUGUGCAUGUGUUCUUCAUGUUCUAAAGAAGAUUUGGAGUGAUUUCGGUUGAUGAUUUGAAGAAGGUAAGGUGAUUCACGCUAAUUUGGAAGAAUAUAACAAGGUUUCGCCAAGAUCUUCAAGAGCUUUCUAUGAUUUCAAACGGAAAAGAUGAUGAACUCGAUGAUAGUUGAGAGAUAAUGGAGAGUUUUCGGCCUGAAAAUGAAUAAGUGAUGGUGGUUUUCGGUCAGCCUUAUGUAAAUACUCCUUGAGUUUUCGGCCAAAAACACCAUCCGAGAGGGUAUGCGGUUGCGAACCGUUUGUGGUCUGAGGAGUUUAAAGUCAAGAACUUCGUUUUCGGUCUAAAGCGUUUGCGGCUGAUACGAAGGUUCUCGGUACCUUUUAGAUUUUUUUCAAUUCUUAUUCAUACAACACAUUAUCAAGUGUUUAUAUGAAUCAAAUAUAUUAAGUUAAUUUUUAUUAAAUUAACAAAUCACUUAGUUUGACCUUUAUUUGGUGGGUUUGACUUGAGUUGACUUUUAUUGACUUUUUACAAAGAAGAAAAUAACGGGUUGUCACAUUGUGGAUCUAGACCCCAUAUAUAACGGUCCACUUUCUUGCUUUCCGAUUUCUCCAUGCUUGUUCAGAGGUGUGCAAGGUCAUUAAACUUCGUCGUGUAAGUCUUGACGUCAGAACCUUUCAUUUUCAGGUUCAAAGCUCAUGUUCUAUGCUUUGUACUUCUUCUUGGGGGCAGUAAUCCUCUAUUAAAAGUUCCUUCAUGUUUUCCCAUGACAUUGAAUUUUCCACCGAGACACCCAAAGGUUUUACAUUGUCAGUCCACCAUGUUAGAGCUCUGUCCAUUAAGGUACAUGCGGCAAACUGCACUUUGCUACCCUUAGCACAAUAGCACAUGUCAAAAACAACUUCAACUUUUUCAAACCAAGGAGUUAAACCCACAACUCCUUCGUUGCCAUAAAAGUUUCUUGGCUUGCAAAUUAGGAAGUCCUUGCAGGAAAAAGUUCUUCUAGGCUCUUCUGUAUGUGAGUGAAGAGUGCUUCCAGCUCCGUUUCCCAGUCCGUUCAUUUCCAUGAGUCACCUUCCAUCAUUCAAGCUCCUUGUAGUUGCCAUUGCAAUUGUAAUGCGCUCUGAAAGUAGUUGUUCCAAAUCAACUGUAGUUUGAGGAAGUCCUGACUCGGGAGGUGGUUGAAUUAGAGCGCUAGAAGUUGGCGUUUCUGGAGUCACAACCGGCCCUCUGGUUGGUUGACCUCUCUGGGUUUGUCCUGCAGUUGGUUCGGUAGUUGGUGUUACUUUGGGGUGUAAUAUGGUGUUCCUUCUUGGAAGUAUUUUAAUUUCUUAUCUCUGUUAGUAGUAGAGAUUUAGUUUGUGAUGUUUUUGUUAGUUCUCUUUAUAAUGUUUUUAUUCAGCAUUAUUAUUCAUAUAACGGUUCAAAAAAAGAUUUCUAAACUUAAUAACAUAUGUUUCAUUUAAACAUUAACAUCCGAAUACAUUAGUCUUUACCAUUUUCAUAAUGUAAAGACUUACAAGUAGUGGUACAAAGACCUACUAACGAACAAAAUUUUUUUUUACUUAUUCUUACAUAUCCUAAUACCUAUCUGAGAAGUUUGUCACCAAAAUUUUUAGUAUCUCAAAUAUGCUACACAAAAGUUUUACACAUAUACAUACAAGAAUAUUGUAUUUUCUUUUAUUGACUUGUGAUCACGUUUUACGUUUCUUAAAACGCCAAGACUUUAUUUAUCAACUACUUCGCUUAUGUUGGAUAAUGCAUGAGGCCCGACCAAAAUAAAACUUAGGCGCACAACUAGGUUUAGUUAUCAUAUGACCUAUGUUUUAUGAAACCUAAUUGAGUAUUUUAUCUAAAUCUGUAUGUUUAAGUUUAUUGGAUUUUUAUCUUUUAAGUGUUGUAGGGUAAAGAAAUUUCAUAAACCUACUAGAGUAAGCCCGAGACUAUUGUUGUAUAUUUCAUAAAAAGAAAAUACUAAGUUCUCUAUAGUCGUUACUCUGAUACCAAUCCGCGACACCCCGACCGACGGUGGAAAACACCGGGGUUGCGACGUUAUUACAAUUGGAUCAACAUUUCAAGCUAUUUAAUGCCUUUAUAAACUAUGUUAAACCAUUUUCAAUUGUUUUCAAUUAUUUAAAUUAAUGCUUUUUUUUUAAACUAUAUAUAUAUAUAUAUAUAUAUAUAUAUAUAUAUAUAUAUGUGUGUGUGUGUGUGUGUGUAUAUUUUAGUGUGUGUGUGUAUAAUUAAAUUUUAACAAGCUUAGGAGCAAUGUUCCUGCCUUAACUCCUGUUCCUUGUUUGGUUGUGGGCUUAUGAUAGGUUUUAUGCUUAUCCAAUUUUAAACUUUAAUUAUACAUGCAACAUAUAUAUAAGUAUAAAACUUAUUUCAAAAAGAAUUUCUAACUCGUUUGUAUCUUGUCGAGCAAAGGGGUAUCUUCCUUAACCAUUUUCAGUACCAACAUAACAACUUAUAAACUAUAAUAGGUAUAGUUUAGGGAUUAAUUCACACUAUUUACCAGUUCAAAGAUACAUUUCAUGAAUCAAUACAAAAUUACAAAUUACUUUCAUUACAAGUACAUUAUUCAUUUACAAGAACAAGAGAACAUAUACACACUAUACAUAAUCUAGUUAAUACUUUAUAUGAGCCAUUACUUCGUUGUACCUACUAAGGUAUAUGCUAAACUCCUAUUUUAUAACCAGAGUCUCCAGGAGGGAGAGCAUGAAUUUGUGUAUAGAUCUAUACGGGACUGACAAUCCUGUACCUAAAUUGUUAGCUACAGUUAGAUCGGCAGGUCUUGUGUGACAAAUGUCAUAACAUUCCGACGCCUGAAGAACGUCGUGUAAGCCAUUAGUAAUUUUAGCAUGGUUAUAACCCCACUCGUAAUUUAGCAUUAACAAACAAUUUGGUUUAAUAAACAAACAUCACUUCAGUGCUUUUAUUUGAAGUAAUAAAACUACACAUCAUUAUUUUCCAGUAUUUGCAUACAACAGAUUUCAUACAAGUAUGGUACACUUCUUUCUAAUUAAGAAAGAAUACAAUUAUGGAAAACAUACACAUAUACUAUUUAAGAGUACAUUAAUAUACAAAAAUUUCGGUCUUAAGGCCUAAAUAUGUCACACCCCCAAACCAGAACGGCAGAAACGUUCGGGGGCGGAGGACGUCAUAUUCAGUAUCAUAACAGUUCAUAGAAAUGAAAGUACACACCACCAUACAUAUAUAAAGGUUUUAAAAAUGUUUACAUCAUUGUAUUCAUUACAUGCUCAAAAGAUAAAUGCAUAAACAUCUUUCAAAAGAAGUAAUUAACGCCAGCGCGUUAAUCCCCAAAAGUUGAUUUCCAAACCUGCUUAGCGGUUCCCUGAGAAUACAAGUUAUUUCAAAGAGAAAGUGUCAACAAUUAAGUUGGUGAGUUCAUAAUUGGUUUAGAAAGUUUGUAUGCCAUUCCAAAUUGAGUGUAUGUUUUCCAAGAAAAUCCCUUAUUUCCUUAUAAAAGUGUGAAAUGCAUGAGAAUAUAUGUAUUGAAUAAUAUAGAUAGUGGAAUCAAGAAAAUCCCUUAUUUUCCUAUUAGUUGUUUGUUUUGUAUACAUGGAAAAUCCCAUAUUUUCCUAAAGUAAUAGUUAGCCUAAUGUGCCAGACUAAAAACCGAAAGCAAAAGACAUGCUUUAGAAGGUUGAAGCAUAGAUUUAUAUAAUGAAACCUAUUAGAAGAUUUCAGUUUGUUAGAUGAAGAAUAGUUUUAAUAACUACUCAUUCAUCAAUCAGAAGUACUAUAAUAAUUGUAUAUCCGAUGAGUUUUAUAACCAUACUAAACAUAAUAUGCCUGUAGCGACGUUCUUCAGGCGUCGUAGCGUUAUGACAAACUGUCACCCCAAAGGACGGACUGUAGCUAACAGUCAGGGCGCGGGAUCAUGACUUCCCGUAUAGAUCUAUACACAUUUGACACGUUCUCCGAACGGGAGACUCUGGUUAUAGACAGGACUUGUAGCGAUACCUUCUAGCAAAAAGGCAGUGUUUGAAGAUGUACUUGUCUCACGGAUUCUCAACUAAGUCUGUAUUAAAGUAAUAGUUUUGUAUGCAAAGAUCAUCCUUUCUCACAAAGUUUUGACAAUGCAUAAAUCAUAAGUUUUUAAAAUGUAUUAAAACGGUUUAACAACGAAGGAUACUUUGGAAUUUCUAAAUACUUUGUAUAAAUCUAGUGCAUGCGAAGUAUGACAAGAGUUUUCACAUAGUAGUAAUAAAUCACAAGUGAUUCAUUUGAUAAAAACGAGUAAAGUUAAAUUUUUGAUGUAGAAGACAAGUUUGUAAACAAAACAUAUAUAUGUAUAUGGUUAUAUAUAUGUAUAAAUUUUAAAAGAUGAUUUGGUAUGUUUCGUAAUUGUUGUUCAUAUUCUUACGUUUUUAUUAGAAACUUUGCAUGAAAUAAUCCUUAAGUUUGAUACUAAAGACCUUUUUGUACUUAUCACUUUUGUAAAAAUGGUAAUUAAACAUAUUUAAAUGAUUGUGUUUUAACUUCCUUAAUGUAUAAACAUUGCUCAAAAAUGUUAGAAGGUGUUAAUAAAUCUAUAAACCACUUUUGACAGUUUUACCCUUUACUGUCCCUGUUUUUAGAAAACUCAUAGAAAAAUCCUCGUAAGUCAAAAACUGAAUCCGUCACCUCUGAGAGUUUAUAAAAUGAGUCUACUUUGUUCCUAAUUUUUAUUAUGAUUUUUAGUGGUCUCAAACUAGUGUGAAAAUGAACAUCUUCACAGACUGGUCCGAAAUCACUUCUGAAAUGACAGGCAGUUUUAUAAAAAUCGCCAUAAAUUGUAGAAAAAUCGUAAGAACGCGUGCGAGUAGUCCUUAGAAAGGUAUAAACUUGGACUAUUUGCAUAUUGUACAGUUUUGAAAUAUAUUAAGUUUAAGAUGGUCAAAACAGUCCGUGAACAGGACUCAACUUUUCUGUAGAAAGCUGUCAUUUAAAUUUAAGUUAUGUUUAGUGUUCUAACUUGUAUUCCCCCCCUUAAAACUUGAAUAAAACAUGAAAAUGUAGGGGUAUGAACUCACCUUAUGUGAAUACUUGAAGAAUGGAAAGUUGAAGAUGAACUUUUGGUUGUUGGUUUGAUGCUCCAAAACAGCCACUCUUUUGGCUAUGUUGCUGUCACGAAAAUUUCACAGCAAAAGUGCAAGAAAAAGGGUAGUUUACUCACUGUUUUGAAUCAAUAAUUUUGAGUAUCAAAACAAGUAACUUCCAGGGGUAUUUGGUGGUAAAAAUAUCAAGCAAAAGGAAGGUGUAGAUGGGUGAAAUGGUGGCUGAAACACAAAAGGGACAGCAACCCUUUAGUUCAUGGUUUUGAUGGCUUUGGAAGGAAGUUCUUGUGCUUGAAAAUGAGAUGAAGGUUGAGAGUAAUUACUUGGAGUAUUGGCUGGUCAAAUGAGGGUAAAAUGAAGAGGAAAUUUCGUGGUUAUGAAGGAGGAAAGGGUGGAAGAGGAUAAGGGGACAAAACCUAGACUAGCUUGUGAUGGGAUGUGAGUUUAAGUGAUGUGAUCUUGUCUAGCCACUUGCUUGGGUGGUUGCUUAGAGAUAGAGUUAGUUAACUAACUAACUACUAGUUAUUUAGUUAGUUAGGAGUUCUAGUUAAGGAGAGGGAAGGUCUUAAUCUCGAAAAUUAGAAGAGGGAUUAAUAAGCAUUCUUAGUAAAAUGUCUUAAGUGAUUAAGCACUUAUUAGUUAAGUUGGCACUUAUCUCCACCAAUUCUCUUAUCUUAAUUGAUUUAGACAUCAUAAAACUUACAUGAAAUCACUUUAAGUCAUGACCCAUAACUAGUCAUUCACUAGAUAAUAAUACAUAUAUACAAAUACAUACAUGUAUACUUAGUAUAAAAUAACAAUGUAGUUUUUGUGUAUUUGAACUUUAAUAUUUAUGUUUUAUUCUUUUUAUUCAAAAACACUUAAAUACAUUCUAAUUAUACCUUAUAAUAAUUCAUUUUAUAUUUUAAUUUAUUUAAAUAUAAAAUUUGUUGACCAAUGUAUAAUUUCGUGACAUUUAACCGGUUAACUAUAUCGUUAAACACGUUUUGUCACUUUGGUUCGUAUAUUUGUCAAAUUUAGAUCCUCCACAUCUAUUAAGCAAACGUUUUACAUAGAACCUAACUGACUUAUCAACUAGAGACAUGUUGAUACAAAAAUUAAGUUUGUUGCGUUUAAAUGAUGUUAUAUGAUAAUUUCACAAACCGGCGAUGGUUCGUAGUCAUACAUCAUAACAAAAUUUAUCAAUAGUUACUUGUUUUAUAUUUCACAAUAAUUUAUUUAAAUAAAAGAGGUUAAAUUCCUUCAACCAUUCUUAAUAGAAUACUCAUAUUGCUUAAUAAUCAAAAUAUAGCAUCGUACGAUCUUUCCUAUUUUUACCAAUUGUUACAAAAUACAUUCCAUUUAUUAUAGAAAAUAUUGGAUUUACUGGAGAAACAUACUAACAUUUUCAUGGAACAAAGUCAGAUUUCUAAUACUAAAUACUUAUGAACUCACCAACUUAAAUGUUGAUACUCUCUUUUCAAAAUAACUUGUAUUCUCAGGGAAGCAGUAAACAGGUACACUUACCUAGGUUUUAAGAAGACGGAGCACAUACUAUACUCGUUUUUAUUUUGCUAUACAUUUUGGUGUCAUACAAACAACAUUAAGAACACAAUUUUUAAUUACUAUAUUUUCAAUACUAUGGAUGUUGUUGCUUUAUGUUACUAUUACUCAUUGUUAUGAUACGACGUCCUACGCCACCGAAUGUUUCCACCAACUCGGUUUGGGGGUGUGAUAAUUGAUCAGAUGCUUGUAUGUCGAUGAUAUGUUAAUAUUUGGUACUGAUCAAAGGAAAGUUGACAUUACCGAAGAGUUUUUAUCAUCGUAGUUCUCCAUGAAGGAUAUAUGGGAGGAUGAAUUGAUUCUUGGAAUAAGAAUCAAGCGUGAACAUCAAGGAAUCUCAAUUUCAUAGUCUCAUUACAUUGAUAAAGUUCUUAAGAAGUUCAACUGUUUAGAUUGCUCUCCAGUGAGUACUCCUUUUGAUCCAAGUAUGAAACUUAUGUCAAAUACUGGUAAAGCAGUUUCACAACUUGAGAAUUCAAAAGUCAUUGGUUGUUUGAUAUAUGCAAUGACCAGCACAAGGAGAUUGUUAAAGGUUUCCUUAGGUUAUUUAAGGAUCUUCAUAUUUUGGUUGGAUCACUAAUGUUGAAGACCAUUCUUCUACAAGUGGUAUGGUGUUUCUUCUUGGUGGAGGUGCCAUUUCAUGGGCUUCUAAGAAACAAACAUGUAUCACAAGUUUAACUAUGGAAUCUAAAUUUGUAGCCCUUGCAAGUGGUGGAAAACAAGCAAAUUGGUUGAGGAAUUUGAUCUAUGAAAUUCCUUUGUGGCCAAAGCCUAUAUCAUGUAUUUCUAUACUUUGUGAUAAUGCUACCACCUUGGUAAAAGCAUAUAGUCAAGUCUAUAAUAGAAUAAUACGACAUUUGGGAGUUAGGCAUAGCAUGGUAUGUGAGCUUAUUACUCAUGGUAUCAUGUUUGUUGAGUUUUUUCAAUCUCAACAAAAGUUAGUUGAUGACUUGACGAAGGGAUAGCUAGAGACUUGGAAAAGAAGUAAGUUAUAGGGAUGGGUUUAAGUCCCACUUGAUAUCCCUAUGGGUGAGAUAGACGAUUCCUUUUUUAUACAAUGUUAGAAGUUGAAUUCAAUGUGGAAAGCCUGCUUAUGGAGAUUGACGCACAUUUAUUUACUAAAUCCCAAGGUAUGUUCUUAUAACCUAUAAAUUUAAAGUAGGUUGAUUAAGUUCUUAAUAGUUCUUUUGAAAAAGUGCAUUAAUAUGAUAUAAAAAGACUACAUAUGGGAGUGUGAAGUGAUGCGGCUUCAGAAAUCUUGGGCUAGGCUUUUAUGCACUCAUGAAUGGAUAAGACACAUAGCCAUAAUAAGUAUGAACCAUUAGAUAUUGUGCUUAACUUACGUGUAUAGUUGUAACAACAAUCAAAAUUUGGUCAAAGAUAAUUCCCAUAAAUAUAAAAAAAACAUAUUAUAAUCUUUAAUGCCAUUUUCAUUCAACACUACAAGUAAAUACGAUUCCAAAAAAAUAUAUAACAUGUCUAAAUCUGACUUCGCAUGAAGAAAUUAUGAUAAAUUCUAUCACUAUAGCAUUUGUAACAAUAGGAAUUUAAAAUAGAUUUAGAAUUAGAAAUUGGAGUCUAAAAGAAAGUUGUAGUACUCGGAAAUACCCACACGUUGAUAUAAAGAUCAUGAAAAAUAGAGCUCGUAUGCAAAAGUUAAGGUCUUCCAAAGAUGUAGCUGUCUAAGGGCAUGACACGUGGCAGAAACCCUAGCCGCCUUAAGUCCAUGACGUGAACAUUAAUUCCACGAUGUGAAACUAGUCAAGGACACUAAUCUAGGAUAGAAAACAUGUGGUAAAGCUACGGGAUGACUCAUGGAAGUUCACGACGUGAACAUAGGCAUUUCACGACGAGAAUGUGCCCAGAACAACCUAUAAAUAGCAAGUGAGACCCUUUCUCUCCUUACACCUUCUAUUUUUCUUUCCCUCAUUUUCCAAAGGCUGUUUCUCUUCGUGAGCCUGACAACGAUGAGCCUCUGAUUGUUUAAAUUCUAUAGAUCAUGCUACUAGGGUGAGUUUCACGGGCCCAUUUUUUAAUGGUUUCGGGGGAAAAUGCAUGUUAAAUAUUAUAUAAAAGUUAAUAUUAUGUUUAUAUGAUAGUAUGUUCAUAUCAACAUAGAUAGUUAUAUUAAUCAGAAUAUAGUUGUUUUGUAUCAUAUAUACUUAGAAUAUAUCUGAUAUAUCGAAAUCAUACAACUAUCUUAAACUUUUUAGCAUGUUGUUAUCAUAGGAUAUACUAAUGUAGCCUCAGACUUAUACUCGAGAGUUCUAUAUGUGUUAUAGUCUUGGAGUUAUACUCGGGAGUUCAAUAUAUACUAUUUUUGUUAUAGCAUCGGAGUUAUAGUUGGGAUUUAUAUAUAUACGUGUUAAGUAUGUUGAUAUUAUCGGUUUUAUGUUAGAUAAAACUUGGUUUUACUUCAAGUUAUAACUAUUGUACUACCUAAAUAUUAUGAAAUUAGGAGUAAUGUUUAAAAGUGUAGUCUAGUAAAUUAGGGUUUUAAACAUGAAUAUGCUUUCACCAUUAGAACUAUAUAAGGUCGACAAAGUCUACAUGAGCUAUAUUUACUCAUCAACUAAGAUUGUAAAUCUUAGGGGAAAUCCUCUAACUGUAACCGCUAAUCCCGUGUGAGGGAGGAAGUUGUUGUUGGGUUGUAUGUACUCUAACAUCCCUAUGGUGCACAUACAACCCUAAUGCUUUGGGUCUAAGUGUUCUCCAGUUAUACAUGCAAUAAAAUAUCUGAAGCAUGAAGCCUACAACUAGCAUACAAUUCUAUAUUUGAAUCAUAAAAACAAGUUAGAUGAUUUCCUCUUGUUGUAGCUUUAUGUAUUUGGCCUUUAAGAACUUAGAACCUCAAGUGUGAUGCCUCUAAUAAGUCACAAACACCAUGAAAAAAUGGUGGUCUUUGAGAUAGAGUUUCUUGGCACCAAAAUUGGCUAUGCUUCUCCAAGAAUACAAGUAUCUCCAAUUUUAGGCUAAGGGGUAACAUAUAUAUAGUGUAGGAUUCCUAGAGUCAUGUGUAAACCGUAAUCCAAACACUUAGGCUUAUGACCCAUAACUCAUAUGGGCUAAAUCUUCAUGUACUUUCACAUAAACUUAGCCCAUCACGGAUCAAUAGCUCAAACCAUAUGUAUCAGUGAUUUACAGAAUCAGUCCCCGUUAAUUUAAUUAGUCUAUUUUGAUCACUAAGUUAAUUCCAAAUUAAUUGUUGAUCAGUACUAAUUAAAUAUUAUGAUUUCACAUUUAAUAUAUUAUACAAAUAAUAUAUUAAUAAAUCACAAAUAACGUCUUUCUCAAAUAUCCAUCCUAUCAGAUUGUUCUGGUGAAGGCAACCCAAAAGGACCAUGCUACUCUCGGGUCAAGUACAUACCAAUUAUAGUUAUGGGAUUAGCCACCUAAUCCAAUAGUCUCCCACCUGGAUAAGUCUAAUAACUAUAGCUGCAAGUACGACUUAAAACCCAACUAGCAAUCAUAGCUCUUAAAUGCUAAUGUCGAACUCUGACCUAGUUAAUGACUUGUCCUUUAGAUAAGGGAUCAUAUAUUCCUCCAUUCUAGAUAUCGUAUGGACUGAGACAUGGAUUAUAAUCAUUCUCUCUGUCCAUAUGUUGUUUCUCGAUUUCCAAUUUAUGAUACCCGACUAAUUGAACAAAUCAAAUCAGUCCAUGCUUGGCCAUGCACUUAGGGUUGUCAUCACUAAAUCAUCGAGGGCCACACAUAUAUCGCUUUUAUCCUUCUAAAGGUAAAAGGAAAAGAUAAAAUUUUACUCAUAUGCUUGCUCUAUCUACUCAUCAAAUCACACACAACAAUAUGUUUUAUAACACCAAGUUACUAGUGUUUACAUAUCAUCAAUGUGCAACCGACUUGUAAACUACAACUCAUAUCUCUCAGUUUCAAGAAUAUAAGAUAUUAUCGUCUCACUAAUCACUCGUGAUAAAAUCCAUGAAGUAAUUUAGAUGAGCGUGGGUUUAAUCCAAUACUCAAAUCUUAUAGGAGUACUGACGAACACUGCAUCAAACUUGUGCUAUGUCUAAACACUUUAGACAAUCUACAAUUAGAUUCAUAAUAGUCUUACCUCAUUACUUACUUCCAAAGUAUGAUUGACUGUGGAUGUUUGAAUAACCUAGUUAUUCUGGAAGUCAAUACAUGCAAAGUGAAACACAAGAAUAAUCGAGUCCAAUAUGGUCUCAAAACUUUUGAAUAUAAAUAAAACACCUUUUAUUUAGUCCCCAUAUUGAUUACACAUUAUUCAUUGUUUGAAGUUUUGAUUAAUCAACUUAAUACUUGAAUUAAAACAAUAGUUAUCCCAUGCUCCAAGCAUGCACAAUAUGUUUGUCUAUGGUCCUUACUUUAUGAAACAUAUCAAUUGAACAUAUUUUUCAAUGAAACUCAUUUCACAAUUCCAAAUAUCUUAUCAAAAGUGUAAGAAUGCUAAAUUCUUGCCACUAUUAGAAUGUGUUAGGUUCUAACCUUUAUGCAAUGAUCUUUUUGUAAUGUCAAUGCACUAAAGUCACAGAGACUUGGACAAUGAAAUUACAAAACUUUCCACUGGAGAUUGAUAACAAAACAAUUCCAAGGAAGUAAAGUCUCAAAUUCAAAGUACAUUCCUUUGAACAUCCUUCUUGCAUAAAAGUUUCUAACCUACACGUAGAUUAUUAAUAUCCAACUCUCAUUAUGGAAACAUUUCCAUAUUUUCCAUAUGACAACUCAUUAUUAAUAGAAUUCUGUCUAUUCAUAAGAAUGUCAAUAUGGUCCAUCCAUUACCAUACUUCCAACUGUCCUUAAGCAACCAAUCCUUAGCGAACCUUAGAUCGUCCUUGACAUUUGUUUAACUAAUUUAGUCAUAUCCGAUUCUGGUCUCUUUUACCUCUUAAUGCCCUAGGCAUUUGGAAAAAAAGAAUAAAUGAAUAUUAUAGCACACAUAAUCGAUCCAAUACCUAAAGCAUAUGGGAUACGAUUCAUGAUGUCUUACACUACUUGACCAGUCUCUUGCUAUAAUAUUUCCAUACAUAGAAUUGCUAAUGUUGAAGCAUUCCAACAAGAUGUUCAUAUAUAUCCUUGACUAAAUUUGAUUAAAAUCUCAAUUUAAGCUUUUAGAUUUGAAAUGAAGUAUGAGUUCCUCUCCCUUAAUUAUAGCAAAAAUAACUUUUCAAACUCUGCAACUUUUCGAAUUGAAACUUUUGUUUUCUAUAACUAACGUUGCUAUCACGCAACACUUACCAUAAUUAAUUGUGCUCCCACUAGCAUAAUAAUUAUGUUCUUACCACUACGAAACUUAUGCUUCCACUAGCUUUGACAUGUACCCAGAAAUAAGUUGGACAUCUAGAAAUCAAUACUUGUUGAAUUUCUUACCAAAGUUCAGGUUUCUGAUACUAGAUGCUUUGAUAAGACUUUAUCUAGGCUUCUCAAACUCAUACACCUUUCCUUAGAUAGCUCACAUGUGUGUCUAAACAGUCUUAGAACUUACAACAAUAAGCCUCAAAUGUUUAGACAUUUUUGCCAUUUCUCACAAUUCGAACUAUAAAGAGGGAUGUCAUAAUCAAACUCGAAUUUGAGAAAGCAAAUAUCACAAUUGCUAUCUCCUUAAAAUCUACUUAGUGAAAGAGUUUCCUCACAAUCAUUUUCAUGAAUUGGAGAGAAACCUUAUGAAACUUACAUUUUAUGGUGUAUGUGUUCCUAUCCAUGUGAAUUUUUCAUAACCAUAAUCACAAGACAAGGUUAGUGACAAAUCCAAAUUCAUAUGGACUGAACUUGUUCAAUCCUAAUUUCUUGCCACCUGGAAGCUCAAGGGCCUACCAGUGCUUCCAAGUUGUUGAGCAGAUCACCCUUAAUGAUAAAUGAACUUUCACUGAUCAAGGCGCUUUGCCUUAUGCAAACAAUUGAGAACUUAUAGAAAUAACAUGUAUAGUUAACUUUAACUGGAAUGGGCAUAGAAACAAGAAUAUGUCAACACAAUAGGCUACAAACCUCAAGUCGUGUGCUAGUGAUAAACAAUAGGUUUUAUUCUUGAUUAGCUCUUGAAACUUUUCAAGAUCUUUAAGACUCCCACUGACCUCUUGACAUAUAAGAUUCUCUUUGUCAAGAGUCAUUACUUGACAAGCAAAUAUUCAAGAGUUAGUGUGGUUAUUUUAUCAAGAUAAACACUUCACAUAAUUUCUCUUAGUUGGUCUUUGUCUUAUCCAGGAGAUCACAACCUACCAAUUUCAAAUGUACAAGAGUAAGAAACAUUUUACUCUACAUUUGAUGAGUGUUAUAAACCUUUCUUAAUAUUAUGUCACUCAAGGCUCAAUCUUGGAGUACGGCUCUAAGACUUGAUCUUGGAACGGAGUAUGACUCAUCUUCUUGAUUUAACCAUUUCAACAAUUCACGAUUCCUCUUCUUAGCCAUACAAAUGCACUAAGAUGUCCUUAGAGGAUCAAUUGUGAUAUUGUUUCAUAAUCAAUAAGAUGAUCAUAAAACACGAUACUCAAGUACUCUCCUUUCCUUUCAGAUUGGAGAAACUUUUAUCUUUCUGCCUAAUUGAUUCUUCUUAUGCGUCCUGCUAUACAAUGAAACUUCUUCAAUGAUUUAGAAUUACACCUAGUCUUGUAAGCAUAACCAUAUUUACUAAAUUUUUAGUAAAUCUUGAUGAACAGUCUUAUCGUUUUUUGUGGUGGACCUGACUAGUGCACAACCAAGUGUACCCAAUCUCCUAGUACUUCACUUGACUCACAUAUACACGUGCAUAAGGAAUUAGUCUUAAUUUCCCAAAGACAAAGGUUCUAAUUCAUCACACAAUACAAAUCGCAUGAUUCCAAGUUUCUGUCCAAUUAAAAUUUGGUUGAUGAGAAUCUUUCCUUAUUUGGUCAAUUGUGACAAUACCACAAACUAAUAAUCAAUUCCAUUGCUAACAAUAUAUAAACAUCAAUUUUUACAAAUGCCAUUGCAAGGAAAUAUAAAACAAGAUAAAAUCAAAUUUUUAUUUAUUUAUGAAAUGUGAAAAAACUUUUCCUUACAACGUAAUUAUAAAUGAAAACUAUGUUAUUGCAUAUUCCUAAGCAAUCUAUCAUAACUCCUAAGUAGUGGCUCAAAAAUCCGAUCCUCGAACUAUGCGAUCGAAAUCCAUCUCUCUGUGAUCAGACUCAGCGCACUCUUCCUUUAAGCUUCCUUUUGUUUCUUUGAUCCUACAAAACAUCAAAAUGCAAUCUUUUCACAUCAUGUAUUAAGAAUCAACAAAUAGGAACUAAACCGAGUUAGAUAGUGGGCUUACGUGAAGCAUAGUCAAACACUUUGACUUCACCAUCCUUGUGGUCCUUCAGAUAGAUAUGGUAGCUUCACAACUAAUGCCCCUUCUCUUGGCAGUAGAAGCAAACAAAUUCUUUUGAAAUGAUACAAGGGACUAUCUCAGACUUAGACUUUCUCUUUACCACUUGGUCAAAUGACUUGACCAUGGCCGAUCCAUGGAAGUUUGGGAGGUAGAUCUUCCAACCAAAUUUGCAUUACCAGUGUGCCAAAUCAUUGUUAAUUCAACAAAAAUUAGCAAAUAUGUAAGAUCAAUAAGGGUCAUCUUGCGGUCUCUCAUAAAUAAGGGUCAUGUUGCGGUCUGUCAUAUAGUAAUCUUUGAUGAACUCACUAUACGACUCAGGAAGUGAUUGAAGAACCCAGUAAACAGCCAACUUCCUUAAGACAACGACACCCAAUAUUCCUAGCCUAUCAAUAUGUGACCUCAUCUCAAAGACGUGAGCACAUACAGACUUUCCAUCUUCAUGUUUGCUUGCCAAUAGGGCUUGAGUAACCUUCACAUUCUCAAGUCUUCGAACAUGUGGGUUAAGGAUAAUUAUUAGAGGAGGUGGAGGAAGUGAAGUAUGAUUUCCAUUUCCACGAUCCAAUCGUGGAAGAUCAUCUUCAUAAGUAAAACUUUUUCCAAAAUAUUUGGGAAGACCAUAGUUGUCUGAACUAGACAUCUACAAGGGAGAAAUUCAAGUUUAGUUAAUUUAGGUCCUUAAUAUAACACCCAAAUGAAAUAUUAAGGCUAGGACCUAACACAAUAUUCUACAAUUCAGGAGAUGGAUGUCGUAAUCCAAUUGCAAAAUAUUUGAAGGUAAGUAAAUGACGAUUUACCAAUUUCCACCAUGAAAAACGAAAAUGAACUUUAGGUUUUAAAUGAAUUGAAUUUCCUAGAUCUUUUGAUAUUCAUUGAACUUUUCACCGGCAUGUUUAAUCUUUAUUAUUCCCUUCAAGUUUGUGACUGGGAUACCGAGGAUCACAAACAAGGUGUGAAUAACCAUGCAAAUUAGCUUGGUACUCUCGAAGUUAUUUAUCACAUAAUCAAUGUGUCGGUUAACCACACACGCUCCAUUGAUUUAUGACAAACAUCGAGCUACCCUUUGCCACCCUUCUUAGUCCAAGUUAGUGUGCCGGUUAACCACACAUGCUCCACUAACGACUUGGGAAGGUGCAAAGUGCAAUUUCAUGGGUUAGCAUCAAAUUCACAUUUUUCUUAAAGUAACUAAGAUUGGGAAUUUAUAAAAGUAUUUAGUCACUUUGUAUUUCAUUAUACUUUUAAUGGAAGUUUGUGUCCUAUCCUACCCGUUUGGCUAAUGACCCUCCAGUAGUUAAUAGUGUGGUGGGUAAGGGUGGAUACCCAUUCAAUCGCCAUUUUAUAGGCAAUUGCCUUAAACACCCCUUAUAGAUCAGCUUCGUGAAUAUGGCCUACUAACGGUAAUACUGACUUUUUACUUAUACAUAUAUAAUAUAUUAAACUUUUAAUUUUAUAUAGUACAAGGGUGUAUUUUAAACUUUUAAAGUACUUAAUGGUUUAAUCUAUUAAUAAAUUAUACUCUUAAUUUAAUUAAACUUAAACCAUGUUAUUAUGGAUUUAUUAAUAUUCUCAUUUAAUUAAACACUUUAAUUAACUUAAUGAAAUUAAUAACAGUGUAAUUGAACUAUUCAAAAAAAAAAUCAAGGUUCUAAAUAUAAAAAGACAAAAUUGCAAAAAUGGUCCCUGUGAUAUGCAAAAUUUUGGGGUUUUAAUCCAAACCCCGAGUUUUUUGGAUUUAUGGUCCUUUUAGAGUGGUUUGUAUGUGGUAUUGGUCCCCAUACUUAACUUCCGUUAACUUGAUGUUGUUAACCCCCUCAUGUGCCUCUCACAUGAGGGUAUAUUUGUCUUUUUACUUCUAAGGGACCAUUUUUGCAUUAAAAAAAUAUAUAUCCCUCUUUUUCUAAAUUAAUACCUAUUUAUUUAUUUUAAUAAUUAAAAAAUAAAAUCUCUCUCUCUCUCUCUCUCUCUCUCCAUUUUAGAUCCAAACUCGAUUUCAUAUUUGAAAAAUGAUUUCAUGUUCUGGGGAAUGGAGAAAUGGGCACACAACAUAAUCACCAUCAUCUUUCCCGUAUCAUCACCCUCCUCUAUUGUGAAAUCCAUCUUUAAUUUUAGAGACCACAACUCCAAUUUACCCCACCCCCAAAUUUAUUCCUGUCGCUCUGUACCUCCAGUCCUUCGGUGAGAAUCACUAUGGUCCAGUGGUCACUGAAGAUCUUGAUCUAAAUCCGAAAGAUGGUGGUUUCAUCUGAAAGCAGAUCAACGCUUGAGAAGCUAAAACGAUUUUAUUUGUUGGGGUUCACAUCAGACACAACAAGGCAAAAAUGGGUUUGGAAGGAAAUGACGGCGAUGACAACGGAUGUGGAAGGAAAGGAUGUUUGUUCGUCGGAGUUCAUAUCGGAAACAGCAAGGCGACUGUGGCAUUGAAAGGGAAAGGUUGUGGUGACGAAGACAGUGGAAGGAAACAAUAUGAUGUUUUGGUGGUUGUUGGUACUUAUCUAGGGCUUGAUAGUGUUUAAAAUUGAUGUGGUGAGAAAUAUGAUGGUCGAUUGGUCGUUGGGUGUCCUGUCACAACUCUAAUUUCCAGCUACCUAAUGGCUUCCGACAAUGAAUGUGGUAUCUAAUGGCUUUGAAAUCGAUUUGUGCAUGCAUUUUUGUUUUUGGAGAAUGUGUGUGUUCUCAUUUCAGGAAAUCAAUUUGUUUGUGGGUGUUUAACCCCAUAAAUUGAUUUGUAAGUGGGUGUUCUUGAAUGACAUGUGUGGUAUGGAUUGAUUAAUGAUAGUUCGGUCUUGUGUACCAGAAGAACAUUAGGGUUCUACUUUGGUGGAUGUUAUUGGAUUUUGUGGAUAUCGUAGGGGGGAGAGAGAGAGAGAGAGAGAGAGAGAGCUUUUUAUUUUUUAUUUAUUAAAAUAAAUAAAUACGUAUUAAUUGUUUUUGAAAAAAGGAAUAUAUCUUUUCAGUGCAAAAAUGGUCCCUACCUUUGAAGUGAAAACACAAAUAUACCCUCAUGUGAGAGGCACAUGAGGGGGUUAACAACAACAAGUUAAAGGAAGUUAUGUCCGAGGACCAAUUCCAUAUACAAACCACUACAAAAGGACCAUGAAUCCAAAAAACUCAGGGUUUGGACUAAAACCCCAAGAUUUUGAGUACCACAGGGACCAUUUUUGCAAUUUUGUCAUAAAAAAAUUCAAAAGUACAAACUAUUUAAUUAAUUUUUAGGUUAUGAACCCAAAAGUUGCACCUUUAUAAUUACAAGAGAUUUAGAAAUCAAUGUUUCAUAAUUUGAGACUUUUCAAAUAGCAAAACUUGAGGGAAAGUUUUGUAACUCUUGAAAAACUUUUUUAGUUCCAAACUUGAUGACAAAAUUUUUAACACCAUAAAAAAAAUUUUGAGUUCCAAAACUUGUUGGUAAGUUUUGUAACUCCUAAAAACAUUUAGAUCAAAUUUGAAAACCAAUAAAAUAAUCAUAAUUUUAUCUUUUACAAAUAGGACAUAACGCAACUCUUAUAGCAAAACAAUUCAAAUCAAACAAUACAAAUAAUCAAAUUAUCAUAUAAUCAAAUCAUUAUCUUAAAAUUUGGUAAUUGUCUUCUAAUUUGGAUGAAGGUAAUCAUUACCUCUUAUCAUAAAAAAUGAUUCCUUAUUAGUCAAAACAGUUUGUGGUAAUGAUUAUGAUCCAAAACAUGGCCAAAAACUUGAAAAUCUGCAAACAGAUGCUCCACCACAUCAUGGUAACUUUGACCACGUCAUGGUCAUCUGUCGGAUUCCACAAAACGAUUUUCUUUUGCUUUCAACAACCAACCAAUGCAUCAAUAUAACAGAAAACUAGUCAUGGCUUUGAUACCACUGUUGGAUUUUACGUACUCUAACGUCCCUAUGGUGCACAUACAACCCUAAUGUUUUGGUUCUAAGUUUUCUCUAGUUAUACAUGCAAGAAAAUAUCCAAAGCAUGAAGCCUACAACUAGUAUAAAAUUCUAUAUUUGGAUCAUAAAAAAUAGUUAAAUGAUUACCUCUUGUUGUAGCUUUAUGUAUUUGGCCUUUAAGAACUUAGCACCUCAAGUGUGAUGCCUCUAAUAAGUCACAAACACCAUGAACAAAUGGAGGAAUGUGAGAUAGAGUUUCUAGGCAUCAAAAUCGGCUAUGCUUCUCCAAGAAUACAAGUACCUCCGAUUUUAGGAUAAGGGGUAUGUUGCAUCUAAAAUUAAAGUUUAUACUUUGCUUUUGUAGUCAAUUGUAAUUUUCAGUCUAGGACCACAAAUAGCUUGAUGUUUACGGCUAUACGUAUGUUUACGGUUGUGUUUACGGCCGUAAACCCAUUUAUGACCCAUAUUCCCUAAGUGUNNNNNNNNNNNNNNNNNNNNNNNNNNNNNNNNNNNNNNNNNNNNNNNNNNNUGUAUAUAUAUAUAUAUAUAGGUGUUAGGUGGUUGAGGAGUGAUUGAUGAACAAAAGAGAGUUUACGACCAAGAGAGAGAGAAAGGAGCAUAAGUGUGUGUUAGUGUUUGAAUCUUGUGUAAGGAACUUCAUUCUAAUCAAAUCAUACAAGAUUCAUCUUCUUCUUAUUCUUAUUCUCUUCUAUUUUGAUCUAGCAUCAUCUGUUUGAUUGGGAUUCUGCACCAUCAAACGGAUCUGAUUGAUACACAAGCAGAUUUGGGACUUACAAGUGGUAUCAUAUCCGUUUGAUGGUGCAAAAUCUCAAUCAAACGGAUGAUGCACGAUCAAAAUAGAAGAGAAGAAGAAUAAGAAUAAUAUCAAUCUUGUAUGAUUUGAUUAGAAUGAAGUUCCUUACACAAGAUUCACAUACUAACACACAUUUAUGCUCCUUUCUCUCUCUCUCUUGGCCAUAAACUCUCUUCUAUUCAUAAAUCACUCCUCAAACACCUAACACUUGUAUAUAUACUUGGGGAAUAUGGGCCAUAAAUGGGUUUAUGGCCGUAAAUGGGUUUACGGCCAUAAACACAACCGUAAACAUACAUACAUCCGUAAACAUCAACCUGUUUACGGUCCUAGACUGAAAAUUACAAUCUCCUAGAAAAGCAAAGUAUAAACCAUAAUUUUAGACCCAACAAUCCCCCUCUUGGUUUAGAGCUUUCUUUUCUAAUUGACCCAACACACUCCCCCUAAAAAACUAGCUGGCUUUUCUUGUUAAUCUUCAUUUGGAGUUUGGAUUUAGCUUUAAUCUUCGAUAUCUUCAUGACUUCAAGAUGAACAUAUGAAUCUUCAAUAAAUGAUGUCAUCUUGAGCAGUUAGGCUUUUAUUUAGAAUUUGACAUUGAACUCACAUUGAGUGAGGAGGCUUGUUGCACUGAUUCUUGAAAAAUGGCGCUUUCAGCUUGAGAAUCUUUAGAGUGAAAAAUAGAGAGAUCUAAUCUUCGGGAUCACUUCAGCAGGUUCAUAGAUAGCAGUACAUUGAUUGAGGAGACUUCAAUGCAAUAUGUCACAUAAUCUUCAACUACAGCUUCACCUUGAUUUUGGGGUUGAAGGAUUGAAUGUUGAAAGAAUAGUCUUCAUUUCUUACUCCCUCGAAUGAGAAUUCUUUGAUGAUCACGGAUGAAGCCUUGGCUCAGAAAUCUCGAUAUAGUCUCCAUGAGUCGCAUCUACAUCUAAUUUCACUUUUCAAGACAAAGCAAAAACUAAAAGAAAACUUUGCACACAAUAUUUUUAGAUUUUUCAUAUUUUCUAGAAAAAUAAAAAUAGAAACAAGAAUAUCUUUGGAUUUUUUAUUUUUCUGAACAAUAAACAAAUCAGAAAUAACACUAUUUUUGGAUUCUUUUUGUAUUUUUGUUUUAUUUUUGAACUUUUUUUUAAUUAUCCCCCUAAAUUUGUGCAUUGAGGAAAACUAUGAACAAAUUUGACAAAAACAAAAACAAUAUAUGGGAUCAAAUUUGUGAGACAGCCUUAACUUUAUUUCUCAGUACCUUCACCUUCAUGAAUAGAUUUGGUCAAUUGCCAGUAUUGUGGCCCACUUAAACAUGAAGGAUAUCGACAAUUUUUUUAAAUAUACCAUUUAGCUGACGAGAACCACGAGUAUUGUUGUCCACUUAAAUUAAGCGGCCAGAUCUACAUACAACCUCUUAAAUGGUUCAAUUUUAGUUGCACUAGAACGUGUUCCCCACUUCCCGAUAUACCCUGGUUAUCAAGAACUUCCAAAUAGCUCCUUACUUAAGGUGAGUAAACAAUUAUUAAAGAGGAAGUCAGAUUUAGAUAUAGAUGCAUAAGUUGUGUCCCAGGUCGGAUCUCUUUCAAUCACGCAUAGGGGACAACAUAUGACUAACAAAGAUAGAGGGAUUGAGAAGUAGAAUGUUGCAUAUGAUGUGUCCCAGGUCGGAUCUUCCGAUCACACAGAGGGGACAACAUAUGGCUAACAUAUAGAAAGAAUUUCAUAGAUAAGGAGGUGCAUAGAAUUAGAGUUGCAUAUGUUGCAAUCCAGGUUGGAUCUCUUCCAAUCACGUAGAGGAAGCAACAUAUGACUGACAGAUACAAAGAAGAAAAUAAUUUCCUAUAGACCUACUUUAUCAAAAUACCCCAGUCGCCCUAGCAGAACCAGAAGUAAGGACAUAAGUCCAUACAUAAAGGAAAAGUUGAACCACUGUUCUAGAUGCGUAUUAAUUUAGUGUAUCCCAUAGGUUCCCAUGCUUAUCUCACUGCUCAAUAUGCCCGAGCGUCGUAUGGUAAAUCCAAACAAUCCUAUCUAAAUCCACACUGUCAAAUCCUUCGAGCCUACCAGCACAUUGAACAUAAAGUCUAAACAAUUUAGAUUUUGUCCUUUACACAUGUUUUAGACUGCCCGUUAUCACUUCCCGAUUAACAAAACUAACGAAAAACUAUAAGAAAAUAAAGAAAAUUGUCUUUAAAAUGAAUCAUUCUAAGAUAAACUCAGGAGUAUAGAGAAGAAAAAUCAAACUGUAAUUCACCGAUUGAAUUUGCAUCCAUAAGGUCUGAGUACAGCACGCAUAAUCUCAUAAUAGAUCCGAAGAGUAAUCCAUUCCUUUCUUCCUUUCCCGCAAAGGACACAUACUCUCAAACAAAGUUCUAAGUGUUACAUAGUUGAGAGAUGUCCCCUAUCAUGUGCCUGGAACAGCCACUACCAACAAAACAAAGUCUGAUGAUAUCCCUCCAUAGCUGCUCCAGCACAGAGCGGGAUCGGUUGGUCUUUGGAACCCAGUCCAUUUUGAAACUGGGUUGACCUUUGUCAUCUUUGCAAGGUACUCUCUCCCAUGACAUGUCCUUUUUAUCACAAACAAAAGAUGAAGAAAUAUUAGAGUCAUUAGGUGAUUUGGGAGAUUGAACCUUUGGUACCCAUUUAUAGUCGGGUUUAACCCAUUUCUUGUUCGAUCCAAUGGGUGCCUCAGUACUGGCUUUUGAAGUUGAAGCCGAUCGUUGAGAUGACUUUGAUCUGACUGAUCUUGAUUUCGAUGGAGCAUCUCUUGGAUUUGAAUUCCUUGCCGGCAUACCCUUCUUGUUGUUGGGAGUUGAUUAAUUGGCCUUGGGAGUUGAACUCUAGCCCUUCGUGUCAUUCCAGUCGCCAUUGUUCGAGCGUGGACUCGAAGGGUUUCUUUUGGAAAAUCUCCUUCUUGGCGUGUUCUGCCAGCCUUGUGCGUAGUAGGGAACGUAUGCGCGAUUAUGACAAUUUCUGGCAAUGUGUAUAGAUGUUCCACAGUGAAAGCAAAUCUUUUGAUUCACUGAGAAGUUGUUUCUUCCUGCCCCUAGUGACGUACCCUUGCCUUGUCCCUUAUUAUUCCCACGGGAACACUUGAAGCAACUAGUCUGCUUUGGUUGUCUUUGGUGGCCUGUAUUUGUCAACAACAGCUUGAUCCGAAGCAACUGAGUUUCAAGCAACAGAUUCUGAGUUCAAGGAGUCAUUGGUUUGUUCAAUAGUGUUCUCCUUGUUCUCAUCAUUUGCUACUUUACCAGCAUAGGAAGUAGAAACAUCAGUAUUCUUCACCUCAACACCCUCGGUUGGCCCUGAUUGUUCAGUCUUAACUGGAGUUGGUUCAGCGGUUUGGUUAAACUGAGUAGGAAUUUCUUCCUCAUUUGUCUCAAGAGGUGUGUUAUAGUUGUCAUUGAAGGGAGGUGGUACAUUGUGAUACCCUAACCCCUUAGUUUGAUUAUCUUUGAAAGUGAAUUGUUUUUCAAUCAUCGAUGCAACUCCCUCACUUGACACAUCAAAUUUCUUAAAGUUGAAUUCAACAUUUUUAUAUUUUGCUUUUAAUGCAUCAAGUUCAGCAGUUACGGUAUCAAAAUCUUUCUUAAGAUAUCUAUAAUGAAUGCAUUUGUCACUGUACUCUGAUUGUAAUUUCUUAAAGUCAUUAGUCUUGGCCUCUAAUUGUUCUUUUAAUGGUUUCAUGUCUUUCCUAAGUUGGUACCCCUCAUAUUUAAGUUCCUCGUUUUCUCUUUUUAAUAAAUCGAUGUGUUCAUAUAAAAUUUUAACAGUUUUAAUGCAAGUUUUAGAGCAUGAAACUUCAUUGACCGGAAUGUUUGAGGAAUGCAUUGUUUUUUAAAAAUAUGCCCUUUGACUUAAAACUCAAAAGUCAACUUUAAAAGUUAAAUUUAAAAAGUCAAACUUAAAAGUCAAACUUGAAAAGUCAAACCGAAAAGCUAAAUUUGAAAAUUUGAAAGUUAAACUAGAAAGUCAAAGUUUAAAGUUAAAGGUCAAACUUGAAAAGUCAAAGUCAAAAUUUGAGGUCAAAAGUCAAAAAUUAAAAACUACAAUUUUUGGUUGAAAAUGAAAUUUAUAAAAUAAAAAAAAAAUUGAUUUUUUGGCUGAAAGUGUCAAAAAUUGCGAAUUUUGGUUUGAAAAGGAGUCCUUUUGAAUUAAAUCCUGGAGGAAUGAAACAUGUUGCUUCUUAGUCCAACUGGUAAGGCACUGGAAAGGAUGAGGCGAGGCACCCGAGUUCGAAUCCAGGCACCCCCAAAAUCCCCUUCCCUUUUUUUAAUUAUAGGCCGAGAACUCUUGCUGGGCUAUAAACGUUCGUAGGCCAUAAACUGAUUACGACCGUAAACUCCAAGAAACCCUAGCCAUAAACGUCGCCGCCGCCGAGAAUGUAGGGUUUUGAGCAUUCUAACACUCCUAAGGUAUACAGGCAACUCUAGUAAACCUUGGAUCUAUGUUUGUCUAAAUACAUGCAAAAUACUUUUCCAAGGUUCAUAAUCCUAUUUGGCAUACAUGGGGAACUUUAAACAUAAAAGAUUGCUAGAAUUACAUACCUUGUAGUUGAUGUGACAACCCGAAAUUUAUUCCGUCAAUGUAACCCACUUUCGUUAAUAAAAUUUAUUUUUAUUAAAAAUUUUCCGUUAACUUCUUAAGUUAAGUAAAUCAAUUGGAGUUAUUGUCGUAAUUUCAUACGUGACGGAAAACGAAAAAUCACGCGAAACUCAACCCUAUAUAAGGGUUGAGUGGUCUUCAUUCCCACCUUGGCCAUAAACUCAACCCUAUAUAAGGGUUGAGUGGUCUUCAUUCCCACCUUUUCACACUCUAGAAACUUGCUCUCUCUACUCUCUCUCUACAAAUUCGGGAUUUGAUCAAGAAACACUCCUUCAAGCUUCACAUAAGUAAGUAAACCUCCUCCUAACUAGUUGUUUGCUUAGCAUACUUGCAAAUCUAUGGAUUAAACAUCCGAAAAGCCCAAGAACAUUAGGUUUACGGUUUGGGAACCUCCCAAAAUCGUAAACACCCCAAAAAGGGGUUUUGAUGCCCCAAACUCCUUCUAAUGCUUGGCAAAUGAACUAGGAACUUGCAUGAAUGAUCUAAGAACCCCAAAACAUGAAAUGAAAGGAGUAAACAUGAGUUUACGGUUUGGGGACCUCCUAGAACCAUAAACACCUCCUAAGGUUGUUAAAAUGCCCUUAACACCUUCUAUGGCUUAUAUAAGUGACUAGAACUUUACAUGCUUAACCUAGAUGCACCAAAACAUAUAAGGAAGAGACAAACAUGAGUUUACGGCUGUAAACUCAUGUGUUUACGGCAGUAAACUCCCUAAAUAGGGAUUCAAAAAGUGUAAACUCCAUAAAGGGUCCAUUUCAAUCCCCAAACACUUCCAUAGCCCUUGAUUCGAGUCUAGCAUAAUUCUUUGACUAGUUUAAGACCUUUGAGCACCCAAUAACACCAUUUCCAUGAGUUUAUGGCCGUAAACUCAUGGGGGAAAUGGUCCCGGAACCAUAAACACCCCUAAGGGCCCCCGUUUGAAGAGUAAACUCCAUAGUGAGGCCAUACACUCCUUAGAUGCAACUCGUCUCACUCCUAACACUUGUGGUAAAGUGUUUUCAUGUAUUAGGAGGUCCUUGUAUAAAUAGUUAUUAAAUGACUAAUUAGAUUCCUUUAUGUAUCACUUCAUGUUACAUAGGAUCUGUGGGUGUGUUCAAGUCCUCACUUAACACCUAGCAUCCUACCCGGCACUCCCAUCCAUUCCACUCACUACAGGUGAGUUCAUACCCCUACACUUUUUUUUCUGAGUUUUUCACGAUUUCAUGGGGGAAUACAAGAAAAAGUACAAGGGAACUUGUACUCAAAACCUAUUAUUUCAUAUGAAAUACUUACAUGUCCAAUAUGAUUUUAACACACAAAACCGUUUUACCAACCGAUUAAGAAAUCAACUAGUAGAGAUAGUUUUCAAACUAAAGCAAGGAAACUCGUGAAUCUCAUCAUAAAACAUUACAUUUUUUAUUUUACAAAGGAUUCAUGCAAAUCAUAAAAUGGGAUUUUCCAUAUUAUUACUUGUAAAUUCAUUAUUCUUAAGAUUGGAGACACGUCCUUGGUAACACUCCACCAGAAUACGCAAGUGUAGGACUAACCCUGUAACCAGAAUCUCUUGGAGGGAGAACGUGAAUAUUGUGUAUAGAUCUAUACGGGACUGACUACCCCGCACCUCGCUACUAGCUACAAUGGGACCGGCAGGUCUACAGGUGACAAAGUCAUAAAAGAUAUUGGCCCCCGUUAUGCGCCAUAUCCAGUUUAUUGUAUGGUUAUAGAACUCGCAACUUAGAUAAUGGAGAUUUACUUUUGGUAAUAAUGAACCUAGUGAACUAACCUCAAAGUAAUAAUUGUUUUGAUUACUAGAGGGUAUCUGCAAUACCCUUAGGAAUUAGUUAACUACUUACUUAUUAGUUUUAUGUAUGUAUUAAAGCUAAUGCAUCUCAUUCAGUGUAACAUAGUUUUUCAAGAAAACUACUCCUAAUGAUACAAGUAUGGUAGAUACUUGUACACUUCAUUUUCAGGAUCGAUAACCGACUAUUAACUUUUAAGGAAAAUAUGGGUUUUUCCUGAGAUAACUUAACUUUUCAUAAACAGGUUGUUUAACAAAGGGAUAAUUAAACUUCUUAUAUAAGAAAAUAUGGGAUUUUCUUGGGAAACAACUUUUCAUAAAACCAAAGGAACAUUUUUUUUCAUCAGAAUCAACCGCUUAUGAACUCACCAGCUUUAUGCUAAUAUUUCUAAAACUGAUUGUAUUCUCAGCUCAACCAUAGACAGGUAUUUCUACCAACUUUUGUAGAAGACGAAGCAUAUAGAAGUCUCGUCUUUACUUUUUGAUUAUACUGAUGUAUAUAAACUAUGUUUUCAAUGUUUUAAACAAAUGUAAAUAUUCUUAUUGUAAUGUAAUGGUUUUGUUUACUAUGCUUUUUAUAUACAAUGGUUGUGAUACUACACAUGACGUCCUCCGCCCCGGAACGUCUCCGCCACCGGUUUCAGGGUGUGACAGAUUGGUAUCAGAGCAAUUGUUUAUAGUGAACUAAGUAUACCGAACCUGACAUGGUAUACAACUAUAAACACUAAGGGGCCGAAGUGCUCUGAACUAAAAGUAUACUUUAAAAAUAUAAGUAUUUUUACUCCAAGUAUACAAGUAUACCUACAUACCAGAAUCAGUAUCAUGAAAAGAACCAAAUAAUAGUAUUUGGAUGUUGAACACUGUGGUUAAACCUAGGCAGUUAUGUAAUCAUGUCUAGGGUCAAUAUAGCCUGAUCAACUAUAUUCACUCGAGACAUGACCAACAUGUGCUUGGGAGUGACUGUGGGGUUGCAACAGGCCUAAAACUUACCAAAGUCUUCCUACCAAAAGUUAUCGAUAGAACAAAACCUUCAACAUAAAAUACUAUAGGAGUAUUUUAGUCAGAGUCGAAUACAUUGUAGAAAUUCAUUCCAAGUGUUGCUACUCAUUCUUUCCUUAGCGAUAGUUUACUUGCUUUAGUAACUCUUUCUUGUUCUAUCGCUUAGUAACACUUUAUCUAUCAUAUAGAGAUACAUCUUGUUUCGUAUCUUCAAAUUCAAUUCAGUGGACUUACCAUCCUCUCCUUCCUGAUCAUUUUUAGAACGAGAUGCCUCCAAAGAAAAGACCCAGCUCAAAGAACAACAAUCCUCCUCCACCACCUCCUCACUUUGAUCCCGCUAUGUUUCAAGAAUUUGUUAUUGUUGUUGUGGCUGCCGCGAUGUCAUAAAUGAACCCUGGCGGUUCAGGCGGGCCAGGAGGUGGUUCCCAUCCUCAAAAUCAGGAAGUUGGUCAGGGACACCAGAAGGAGUGUUCCUAUAAGGACUUCAUGAACGCAAAACCCACAUCCUUCGAUGACACUGGAGGUGUUAUUGCCCUGACGCAAUGGUUCGAAAAGAUCGAGUCCAUUUUCGAAAUCUGUUCAUGUUCUGAAGUCAACAAAGUAAAAUUCGCUGCUUGCACCUUCGCCAAUAGGGCACUAACCUGGUGGAAUGGUCGGGUCAAAUCCCUAACCCUACCAGUGGCAAACGCUAUUGGUUGGGAGAGUUUGAAAGAGCUCAUGCUUGCUGAGUACUGCCCUCGGGGCGAAAUGCAGAAACUAGAGCACGGACUCUGGAACCUAAAGAUGAAGGGUUCCGAUGUUGUUGCCUACACUUCUAUGUUUUAAGACCUAGCACUCCUUUGCCCGGGGAUGGUCACCCCGGAAAGCAAAAAGACUGAAAGAUACAUUUGGGGGCUGACCCAGCCAACCAAAGGAAAUGUCUUGGUUGCUAGGCCAAACACCUACGACAACGCUAAGUGCCUGGCGCAGACUCUGAUCGAUCAUGGAUUCGAUCUCGAUGAAGUGAUCACCAUUCUUGAUCCGGCUAAAGGGAGCAGUGAGAAAAGAAAAUUCUGGAAGCAGAAGAAGGGUCAGUCUUCGCAGGAGCCCUCAAAGAAACAACAAACGGUGGUAGUCCACGCUGCUACUACCCCUGUCGCUACUCCUGCCAUUGAAGCACCUAUCAGUAAAUAUGUUGGUACCCUUCCUUGGUGCGACAAAUGUAACUACCAUCAUAAUCCUGGCCCAUGUCUUGAAAUGUCAUGCUCUAAAUGUGGCAAAAAGGGGCAUACGAUUCGAUUUUGCAAGGCACCAACUCAAACAACCAAUCAAUCGUCUGGAGUAGACAUCGGUCAAGCCUGUUAUAAUUAUGGAAAAGUCAGGCACUACAAGAGAAUCUGCCCCAAGACAAUAACAACUGAUGGCACAGGAAGAAUACUGACGAUGCGACGCGAGGACGCAGUCGCUGAUCCCAUAGUUGUUUCGGGUACGUUCCUCCUUGACAACUCUUAUGCAUGCAUUCUUUUCGAUUCUGGUGUUGAAAGAAGUUUUGUUAGUCAUGCAUUCAAGCACCUUCUUAAACAUAAACCCAAACCAUUAACCAAAACGUUUACUGUCGAGAUGGCUAACGGUGAGAAAGAGAGCACUAACGAUAUAUGCGUAGGCUGCACUCUUACCCUAAACGAUCAUUCCUUUCCCAUCGAUCUUAUGCCAGUUUCCAUAAAGAGCUUCGAUGUCAUCAUUGGCAUGGAUUGGUUAUGCCCCAAUCAUGUUGAUAUCCUGUGUUUUGAAAAAGCUAUCCGACUCAAUCUCCUCUCUAGUGAAACCCUCAUGAUUUGUGGUGAUAAACUCAACUCCAGCCUUUGUAUCAUUUCGUGUAUCAAAGCCCAAAAACUUAUGUGAAAGGAAUGCAGUGCAUUCCUAGCUCAUGUUGUAAAUGAGAAAUAAGAAGUUAAAGACCUCGAGAGCAUCCCCGAGGUCUGCAAUUUUUCUGAUGUCUUUCCAAAAGAACUUCUGGGAAUUCCUCCUGAGCGUCAGGUCGAGUUUCGCAUCGACUUAAUCCCCAGAGCUACCCCCGUAGCUAAGUCCUCAUAUCGCCUAGCGCCAUCAGAAAUGCAAGAGUUGUCCAGCCAGCUCAAUGAGCUGCUCAGCAAAGGAUUCAUCAGACCAAGUUCUUCACCCUAGGGACCCCCAGUUUUAUUUGUGAAAAAGAAAGAUGGAUCCUUUUGGAUGUGCAUUGAUUAUCGAGAGCUAAAUAAGCUCACAGUCAAAAACCGUUACCCUCUUCCUCGAAUCGAUGACCUCUUCGAUCAACUUUAGGGAGCCAACUACUUCUCAAAAAUUGAUUUAAGAUCAGGGUAUCAUCAACUACGAGUCUGUGAGGUUGAUGUUCCUAAAACAACAUUUCGGACUCGAUAUGGCCACUACGAAUUUGUGGUAAUGCCCUUCGGUCUAACCAAUGCACCAGUAGUGUUCAUGGACCUGAUGAACCGGGUGUGCCGUCCUUUCUUAGACAAGUUUAUUAUCGUGUUCAUAGACAGUAUACUUGUCUAUUAAAGAAGCAAGGAAGAUCACAAACAACACUUGAGAUUAGUGUUGGAAACUCUAAGAACAGAAAAGCUAUACGCGAAAUUCUCCAAGUGUGAAUUAUAGAUUCGGAAGGUAACUUUUCUGGGUCACGUGGUGAGCGAGGAGGGCAUACACGUGGAUCCGUCCAAAAUCAAAGCAAUAGAGAAUUGGUCAACACCGAAGAAAACCACAGAAAUCCGUCAAUUCUUGGGUCUUGCUGGCUAUUAUCGUAUAUUCAUCCAAAAUUUCUCCAGAAUUGCCAAACCCCUAACCACUCUAACUCAGAAAAGCAUAUCUUUUUGUUGGAGUGAAAAGCAAGACAUUGCAUUCCAAACAUUGAAGCGAGCCAUGUGCAGUGCACCUAUCCUGCCUUUGCCCGAAGGGAUGGAAGAUUUUGUGGUCUAUUGUGACACAUCCAAUCAUGGCCUAGGCUGUGUGCUCAUGCAACAAGGAAAGUUUAUCGCCUAUGCCUCGAGGUGGUUGAAUACACAUGAGGCAAAUUACACAACUCAUGACUUGGAGUUAGGAGCAGUGGUCUUUGUGUUAAAAAUCUAUAGACACUACCUCUAUGGAACCAAGUGCACUAUCUUCACUGACCAUAAGAGAUUGCAGCACAUCUUUAACCAGAAGGAGUUAAACAUGAGAUAGCGACGAUAAAUCGAGCUACUCAAUUACCACGACUGAGAAAUUCGCUACCAUCCCGGCAUGGACAAUGUGGUAGAAGACGCCCUCAGUCGAAAGGAGUAUUCAGGGCGUAAGCUGAAGGCACUAACAAUGACCAUCCAUUCCUACCUGUCGCACAGAUCUGAGAGGCUCAGUUGGAUGCCCUAAAACCAGAGAACGUGUUGAAUGAAGCUUUGAGGGGAAUGGAUAAGAAUCUUGAGAUCAAAGGAGACGGAGUUCAUUGUUUCAUGGACCGGAUCUGGACCCCAAAGUUCGGCAGAUACAGGGAGGUUGUCAUGAACGAAGCUCACAAGACCAGGUACUCCGUUCACCCAGGUUCGGAUAAGAUGUACCUUGAUCUCAAGAAACUAUACUGGUGGCCAAACAUGAAAGCCGAGAUCGCUACCUUCGUGGGCAAGUGUCUGACUUGCGCCAAGGUCAAGGUCGAAUAUCAGAAGCCCUCAGGUCUACUUCAGUAGCCGGAAAUACCUGAGUGGAAGUGGUAAAGGAUAACCAUGGAUUUUAUCACCAAGUUACCCAGAUCUCCGAGUGGGCACGAUGCCAUAUGGGUAAUUGUUGAUCGGUUGACGAAGUCCGCCCACUUUCUGCCAAUCAAAGAAAGCUUCAAAAUAGAGAGACUCACACAAAUCUACCUUCAAGAAAUAGUUCGUCUUCAUGGUAUACCUGCAUCCAUCAUCUCCGAUUGAGACAGCAGGUUUACAUCAAGGUUCUGGCAGUCCUUGCAAAAGGCUCUUGGAACUAAAUUGGAUAUGAGCACGGCUUAUCAUCCGCAAACUGAUAGACAAAGUGAGAGAACAAUUCAGACCUUGGAAGAUAUGUUGAGAGCCUGUGUCAUUGACUUCGGCGCAUCAUGGGACACUCAUCUUCCUUUGAUUGAAUUCUCUUAUAACAACAGCUACCAUACCAGUAUCAAGGUUGCCCCGUUCGAAGCCCUCUAUGGUCGUAAGUGCAGAUACCCUCUGUGUUGGGAGGAGGUGGGCGACACCCAGCUAGCCAAGAGACGAGUCCCCGAUAGUACUCUCACUGGUCCUGAAAUCAUCCGCGAAACCACCGAAAAGAUCAUUCGAAUCCGAGAACGACUGAAAGCUUCACGAGACAGACAAAAGAGCUACGCCGAUAAGAGACGAAAAUCCUUGGAGUUCCAGGUUGGUGACCAUGUCCUUCUGAAGGUCUCACCCUGGAAAGGCAUGAUACGGAAAGCGUGAAAACUUAAACCCAAGGUAUAUAGGACCGUUCGAAAUCCUUGCUAGGAUUGGUCUCAUAGCCUACAAACUUCGUCUACUGCAUGAACUCAGUAACAUUCACCCUGUCUUCCACGUUUCAAAUCUUCAAAAGUGCUUAUCUGAUGAAACUCUUGUGAUCCCUCUCAACGAUAUUGAAAUCAACGAGAACCUCAACUUCGUGGAAGAACCGGUCGAAAUUGUGGACAGAGAGAUCAAAAGAACGAAACAAAGUCGCAUCCAUAUAGUGAAGGUUCGCUGGAAUGCCAAGCGGGGACCUGAAUUCACUUGGGAGCACGAAGAUCAGAUGCAACAGAAGUAUCCACAUCUCUUUCCAAAUCCAUGAUUUUUAUCUUAUUUCCAAAUUUCGGGACGAAAUUUCCUCUAACGGGGGGAUGAUGUGACAACCCAAAAUUUAUUCCGUCAAUGUAACCCACUUCCGUUAAUAAAAUUUAUUUUAUUAAAAUUUUUCCAUUAACUUCUUAAGUUAAGUAAAUCAAUUGGAGUUAUUGUCGUAAUUUCAUACGUGACGGAAAACGAAAAAUCACGCGAAAACCCCGUUUGCGGUUAGUGUUUGGAGGACCCCCACCCCGGCCGUAAACUCAACCCUAUAUAAGGGUUGAGUGGUCUUCAUUCCCACCUUUUUCACACUCUAGAAACUUUCUCUCUCUACUCUCUCUCUACAAAUUCGGGUUUUGAUCAAGAAACACUCCUUCAAGCUUCACAUAAGUAAGUAAACCUCCUCCUAACUAGUUGUUUGCUUAGCAUACUUGCAAAUCUAUGGAUUAAACAUCUGAAAAGCCCAAGAACAUUGGGUUUACAGUUUGGGAACCUCCCAAAACCGUAAACACCCCAAAAAGGGGUUUUGAUGCCCCAAACUCCUUCCAAUGCUUGGUUAAUGAACUAGAAACUUGCAUGAAUGAUCUAAGAACCCCAAAACAUGAAAUGAAAGGAGUAAACAUGAGUUUAUGGUUUGGGGACCUCCCAGAACCGUAAACACCUUCUAAGGGUGUGAAAUUGCCCUUAACACCUUCUAUGGCUUAUAUAAGUGACCAGAACUUUAUCUGCUUAACCUAGAUGCACUAAAACACAUAAGGAAGAGACAAACAUGAGUUUACGGCCGUAAACUCAUGUGUUUACGGUAUUAAACUCCCCAAAGAGGGAUUCAAAAACCGUAAACUCCAUAAAGGGUCCAUUUCAAGCCCCAAACACUUCCAUAGCCCUUGAUUCGAGUCUACCAUAAUUCUUUGAGUAGUUUAAGACCUUUGAGCAGCCAAUAACACCAUUUCCAUGAGUUUACAGCCGUAAACUCAUAGGGGAAAUGGUCCCAGAACCAUAAACACCCCUAAGGGCCCCUAUUUGAAGAGUAAACUCCAUAGUGAGGCCAUACAUUCCUUAGAUGCAACUCGUCUCACUCCUAACACUUGUGGUAAAGUGUUUUCAUGUAUUAGCACUACUAGAAAAACAACCUUUUACGACGCUCAUUGUGCGUCGUAAAAGGCUCAGACGACGCGCAAAUGUGCGUCAAGGAAGGCCCUGUCAUAAAGAGAGACGACGUGCUUUUGCGCGUCGUCUAUAGACGACGCGCAUUUACGACGCUCAUUUAUGACGCGCAAUUACGACGCGCGUUUACGACACGCAAUGCGUAUCAAGAAAGGCACUGUCAUAAAGGAAGACGACACGCAUUCGCGUGUCGUAACCUUACGAUGCGCGUGUUAAUGACAUGUAAUGCGUAUCAAGAAAGCCCCUGUCAAGAAAGGCCAUGUCAUAAAUGAACAUGACACACAUUUUUGCGUAUCAUAAUUUUAAAUGUUUAAAAAAAUAUUAUUUCUAGAUUUACUUAUUUUUAAAUUAGAUUUGUAUUUAAUGCUUCAUAAUAGAAAAUAAAAUUUCAUAUAUAAAAGAUAGAAUCCAUUGCAUAAAUUUAAUGUCAUACAAAUAAUUUUUCCAUGGAAAGAUAAAACAAAUCAAUAGAAGUUGUAACAAAAAUUUACAAACAAAUUAGAUACAAAAAAAUACAAUCCAUUGCCCUUUGCUUAUUCAAGAUCAACUUGCAAGUAGCUAACUAAUCUGUACAAAUUCACCCUUGUUUCUAAUCGUUUUCUUAAAUACUUUACAAACAUAAUUCAUCCAUAGUACCUAAACUAUAGUUGCAGCCUUGUUUCUUCUUCUUCUGAACUCAUCUCUUGCAACCAUUUCUCUAAGCCUAGUCUGAAUAGAUACAACAGCUCCUUGUCAAUUAUGUGAAAAAUACAACCGGAGAUGGCCUACCUUCAUAAUACCAACAACUAACGAAGUAGGAAUGAAAGAGAAGGCAAGACUCACAACAAUAGUUGUAGUGAAUGCAUCUAGGUCCUACAAGAUCAUAUAAAUCACUAUUUAAAUACACACUACAUAUAAAGGUGUCAAUAUUCUGAUUGCAUGUACUUAAUAUAUAAAGACUCCAACAAUAAAUAGAUAUGUUAUGUUACCUUGAGACACCUUUGAAGGGGAUCCAAAAGAUAAUUUGUAGUCUUAUCAACUUGGAUGAAUCCCAUUGUUGUAACAAACAGAUAUUUCAACAAGAAUAUGACUAACCAGAUAUAUAAACAUGUAUGUAUAAUUAAUAAAACACAAUUAAAUGAUGAAGAUAUAAGAUUCUGUUAUUCAAGAUUCUGAAAUUUUUGUAAUUGUUUUUUGUUAUUUUUUUCUCAAUUUAAUAUAAGGGGCGGGACACAAACAAUAUAAUUAAGGGGCAAGAGGUUACACAUUUUUAAUACAUAUAACUAUUAUAUUUUAGUAGUUAUUCUUUUUUUCACCAUUAUUUAUGGUCAAAGUGAAGCAACCCUUGGUGAGUUGAUGCACCUUCUUCACUUGACCACUAAUUUAGAAAUGCAUGUCCGAUGUCAAUCUUUUCUCUAAAGAUCUACUGUUUGGAAACUUGGUAAGAUUAAAAAUCUUUGUAGGAAUGGUUAGCCAUGUGAUCAGUUACUCACGUACAGUCUGUGUAAGCUUUUCCACCUGAUCAGCAACCUUUUGUCGAUGCAUUUUAUCCAUAAUUUUAUUUUCCUCCUAAAAAACAAAACUAUUAUUUUAUUUUCCACCAUGAAAUCGAUAUUAUUUAAAGAUUUAAAUAUUAAAGGCAUCAUACCUAACAAAUUUCUAUUAGUUUCAUCAACUCCUGAUUCUUGUUUUGAAGAUUAUCCACCAUUGAAGCUUUUGCUAAUGCAACUUAAACAGUCCUUUCAGCGUCAAGUAAAGCAGCUUCCUUUGACUUGGUCAAUCCAUCUAAUGCUUUGUUGUCAUCUGGUAACUUUGCAAUCUGAAAGACAAAAAGGAAGCAUGAGAUUUUUAUAGUUCCUAAAAUUAUUUUGUAGCACAUACCUUUUAUCGAGCAAGUUUGAGGUCAGCCUCCAAUGGUGCAAGAAUGGCUUCAAUUGGUGACAUGUCAUCAUCUUUUAUAGCAACAUGAACUCUUCAUAGAGUGGCUUCUUUUGCAAAUUGUGCUGCCAUUGAUGCUUUCUUUUCAUCAUUGAUAUUCUUGAUUUCAAGAUUUUACAAUAACAAAAAGUAUAUCUUGUUAUAUGUAAUAAUAUGAUGAAAACAAUGUAAAAGGGGUUGAGUGUUGAGGUGGUUUAGUCAAUACUUUGCUUUCUAGAAGAUAUUCUAUCAACUUCAGGUUCUCAUCUACCUUUGACAAUUAUUCAGUUAGCUAUGGUGACAUGAAAAAAAGAAGAAAACUAUGUCAAAGUUAACCCCUAGUGUAUAGAUAUGACAUUAUGAAAAAUACAAGAGAUAAUCAAAGGGAAAAAUGGGAAACACAAUAAUCACAUAACUACCUCGUGAUUAUUGAAGCUUUUGCACACAUUACAUCAUUACUAACAGGUGCAAAUCCAUUUCCAAAUCAAAGAUUCAACCCCAUAAGAUUUUAAUGAGAAGUAUUCACAAGAAUAGUAACAUCUUAAUUUCCAUCAUUACCCAUUAAUGACCAACCCUCAUCAGAAAACCCAUUCAAAGCUUCAUUAAAACCCCUGAAGAAUAAAAAAUUUACAAAUUAACCCCCUUAAAACUUAUCUAAUUGCAAAAUGGUCCUUAUGGAUUUCCUCUGACUUAAUCCUAUUAAUGUUGCAGGUAUUCUCUCCUAAUUUGCACUACUAGAAUUCUAAGCUUAUAGAGCUAUCUGUCUUAGCUGGCGUAAAUCCUGCCACAUAUUCAAUUUUCUAUUAAUUAAGUAAAAUGACAUAAGGGUAUAUUUGGAAACGUUAUGGAUUUGAAAUGUUGUAUUACCAUCAUUGUUGUUUUUUGAGCAAGAAUAGUUGGAGAUUCAUAUAAAGGACGCAAGACUUUAGGUACCCUCCAUGCCUAAUGAAUUAUAUAAUAAACUAAUUUAGAAUAUUAAUGGAGUUUAAAUAUGANAUAUUGUUUGUGAUGAUACCUCUAAGUUCAUACAAUUGGCAAUGUUAAUAAUGGAGCCACAACAUCUUCAUAAGUAGGAGGUAUCCCUUCUGGUGAUUUCUGAGAUUGAUCAUCAGCUUUCACAUUGCUUCCUCUGCAAUAAAAACAAACACAUCACCAAAAUGGGUCCNCUUCUGCCAUAGUUUUCAACAUCAAAGCUUCUUCUACCUUUGUUGUAUGCAUCAUCUUUAGUAGUACAAAGUGAAAAUCUUCUAUGUCGUUUGUGAUUAAAAGGAAGAUUUUUGUAAAUUCUGGGAGUUUUAUAACAAGGGAUCAGAAAUUAAAAUUUUUGAAACAUCGGUGGUAGUGGUUGUGGAGGUGAGAAAUGAUUGUGGAGGCUGUGAAAGUGACAAAAUGGUAAAUUGCCAAAAUAACCCUACAUGAACUUUGGAAAUGAUGGGUAACAGAGUAUAUAUUUACCUCUCUAAGUACAGGGAACUAAAAAUUUCUAGCAUAAAGAGUCCCAGCCUGCAGUAAAUUACCAAAAUAACCCUACAUGAACUUUGGAUUAUGGAGGCUGUGAAGUCAAAAAGAGUUUCAGCCAGCAGAAAUUUUAAUUUAAAUAUAUUAUAUACAUUAUUUAAUUAUGAUUGACAUAUGUUGGCCCAUCUGCCUAUCCAAUUCUUAGUUGUUUGAUUUCAUGCCUGCUCACAUCAGCAAAUAUGUUGGAUGGUGGUGUUUAUAGAAACGACUUAUGAAUUUAUCAUUUGAUCAACUUCUUUCAGCUUCUCCUUGAUCUGCUUUAACAAAUGAAGAAUCCCAGGUGUCUGCACAAUUAACAACAAAUCAGAACAUUAGAAAGAUAAAGUGAUAUGAAGAUGUAUAAGGGAAAAUUAGUUAUUUGAUGACAUCCAUUGGAGCUAAUAGCGUACCUUGUUAUUUCCUACAAUUUUCCUUAAAAAUUUAACAUAAAUUUUGAGGUAUGUUGUUAUCAUAACCAAUUUGGUGAUAUCCAUCAUCAUUUUUUUGAAGUAUAUAUCCUAAUUGUUCAUGCAUUCACACAAAUGUAGAUAUAUCAAACAACAUAGGGAUAGUGCAUUGUGUAAGUCAUUUCUUGGGGUAGCAUUACCUUGCAUGUAGUCAUCUAGUAAUGGUGUCACCCUUUCUGUCAAUGAUUACAAUAAGUGUCACUUAGUGUAGAUAUUUCAUAGAUAUGUUAUACUACAGUUGCUUGUGGUAGUACCUGAAUCAUGAUUUUUCAGUUACUAGCUUCUUCCAUACCUAAUAUAGGAGAUAAUAUCGACAUUAGAAUGUGUUCUAGACAAUAAAUGCAUGUAUGAAGACGAUUUAAUGAUAGCAUAUUCCAUGAUAACAUGAAACGUCCAAUUAAUAAUAUUGCUCCAGCUCUACCAUCAUUAAUAGCAUGGUAUAAGUGGUACAUACAUGAAUAUGAUACAUCUAGUCUUCAGGGGUAAAAGAGGUAUUUUCUUUCACCUGAAACUAUAGCCUUCCUAACUUCUAUAUGGAAAUAGAAUUUAAGAAGUGGUACUAAUGUUGGUGCAACCUGUUUUUUAUUAAAAAGUUAAGCUGAUUUUUUUCAAAUGUAAAAAGACAAGAAAGGGUAAAAGAGGAAUUUCAUUUCACCUGAUCAAUCCAUGGGAAAAACACUUCUUUUAAUUCAUUAGCAUAGCAGCAUAGCAUGUUGCAUGAUGUAGCUUUCUCGUCAAGGACACUAGUUUUGAUCCCUAUUCUCUUCUCUCCAAGUGUAAUAGUCUCAAUGCUGCACCAUCAAAGGGUAAAAUGGUCAUUAACUCUCAUUCAAACAUUUCAUUUAUUAAAAAUCACACCUUUCAUCAUCAGACUCGUCAAUAUCAUCAUCUGAAUCAUCAGCAGAAGUAAUUGUAACAUCUGGUUUAAGUUGAACAAAAUGAAGCAAUGGUGGCAUCACAACAUUCAUGUAAGGGAGAAAAUCUUGCCCUAGGCACUUGCAGAAUCUUGCCCAUGCCUACAACAAAAAUAUAUAAUUAUAAAUUUAUAAUCCUUAAUUCAAUUUGUUUUAAAAGAUUAAGUUUAAGAACAGAAAAAGAAAAGAAGCAUACUUGUAACAUGUAGCUUAUUGUUGGAUCAUUUGUCUCCAAUUGGGAACCUUGAAGUGACAUAAGGACAUCCAUAACCUAGAAACAUGUAAUAAAUUAUAACUUUCAAAGAUGAAAAAAUAAAAACAUUUGUGAAUUACAUAUUUAUAAAUAUAUAUAAGUAUACCUGUUUAGCAUCAUCUUUGAACUUAUCUUUUCCAACUAAACUAAUACACUCCAUGGAUUUGGCACGAAGCAUACAAUUAGCUUUAUCAGUUGCAUUCAUGAGUAUAGCUUUGAAGUAUGGCAUAACUGCAUCAUAAUACUUUUGAAAAUGCUCCUGGAAGCACCCCUUCUGAUUCAAGCUCACUUAUGAUGCUCUGUACGACCUAAUAACAAACAAAGUGUUAUUCAGAUUUCUCAAUCAGCUCCAAAAAACUUAAUUUUUUUAUUGAAACAGCCAAAAAAAUGACAAGGAGGCACACAUACGUGAGGGAAGCAUAUAGGAAUUCCCAUGUCAACUUCAAUCAGACAAAGGUGGGUCAACAGAAACAGGAUACCAUCGGAUGACUUUUAGUUCAGACAAAAAACUAGUCUCCUGGCAUUUCAUCGAACAGCUUGCCUACAUAAUCUUCAUGAAAUGCAUCAGGAGUGUUCCUUGAGUAGUUAUUUGCUUCUUCAUCUGGCCCAAACUCAUUAAAACAGAAUUAUAUAUAUAAUGGAAAUGUAUUUAGAAUAUACCUUUGUGGUUCUUGCAAAGAUCCAGUAUUAGUAAGGACAAAGGGAGUCAUCAUAAGUUCUUUCUUGAAGGAGCUAUAUUCCUUAAUCAAAACACUAAUUUCAUCAAAAAUAGACAAGAGAAUCCUAGGCUCAGAGACAAGUUCUGGAAUGCGAUUGAACAUAUAGCCUUUAUAAAAUUGGACUCGAGAAGGUUCUCUGAUGUCUAAUGAAAUACAUCGUUGGAGUCUGGUGAGAGCAUUAUCUAGAUUAGGAUUGCGAGAACUAGAAGCUGCAACAUAAAUACAUAUAUUAUAUAGAUAUAUCAUAUCUUUCUUCGAUUUCCUGCUUCUAAUCCCAGAACGUGAACAAUAGCUCUUCUUCCUCCUCCUUGACCUGGAAUCAUAUGAAUCGUCUGAACCAUUGAUGAGAAGAACUUAAAGAUGAAAGAUGGAAACAGAGGUGGAGGAGAAUAAGGGAAACUAGAUACAAUAAAAAUGAAGGCCAAAGACCACCUAAGAAGUGAUCGAUGCCAAAAAAAGGGGGGAAAUAAAAAUCGCUAAAAUCACAUGAGAGAAUCCAUGAAUUUUAGGGAAAAUACCACCUGUUGUUUGGGGUUUUUCUUAGUAGCAGGAUUUUUAUAAUUCUUUUGGGAUUUCGUUCUGUAAUUUUUGGGAGUGCAAAUCGAUGAUUGAUGGUAGAAGGGUUUUUUUACAGAGAAUGAAGAUCUAGAGGAGAGGGUGAGGAUGCGUAUCACGAGUGGUUUAAAAUACGUGAUAGGGGUUUUAUUAUCGGUGUAGUGUAACAGUAAAUAAUGGUUAGAGAAGAUGGUCGGAGACACUUGGUGGUGCGAGAUCGGAGGUUAGGUGGUGGUGCGAUGUUGCUAUGAAGACGAAGGCCUAGGGCACUUUCUUGCUAAUUAGAAGAGGCGGGGGGGGGGGGGUUAAUUUUUGGGAUUCAAUAGGCGGGUGAAAUCCCGCCUUAAAAACGCAUGUUUCAUUAAAAUAUUAUAAAGCGACACAUUUAGAUGACGCAUAUUUUAUAAAAGGCACCCUCCGCAUUUCCUUUUUUUCUUUUCUGACACUAAUUUUAGGGCACGCACAAAUGCGUGCCCUCUAUCCUUCAAAUUUUUCAAAAUUGACAUUAUUUUUUAGGGCACACACAAAUGCGCGUCUUCUAUCAGAGAGUAUCAUUGUUUGCGCGUCAUUAAAGGGCUUUUUUCUAGUAUUGUAGGAGGUCCUUACUUGUAUAAUUAGUUACUAAAUGACUAAUUAGAUACCUUUAUGUCUCACUUCAUGUUACAUAGGAUCUGUGGGUGUGUUCAAGUCCUCACUUAACACCUAGCAUCCUACCCGACACUUCCAUCCAUUCCACUCACUACAAGUGAGUUCAUACCCCUACACUUUUUUUUUCCGAGUUUUUCACGAGUUCAGGGGGGAAUACAAGCAAAAGUACAAGGGAACUUGUAGUCAAAACCUAUUAUUUCGUAUGAAAUACUAACAUGUUCAAUAUGCUUUUAACACACAAAACCGUUUUUCCAACCGAUUAGGAAAUCAACUUGUAGAGAUAGUUUUCAAACUAAAGCAAAGAAACUCGUGAAUCGCAUCAUAAAAUGUUAUAUUUUAUAUUUUACAAAGGAUUCAUGCAAAUCAUAAAAUGGGAUUUUCCAUAUUAUUACUUGUAAAUUCAUUAUUCUUAAGAUUGGAGACACGUCCUUGGGAACACUCCACCAGAAUAUACGAGUGUAGGACUAACCCUGUAACCAGAAUCUCUUGGAGGGAGAACGUAACUAUUGUGUAUAGAUCUAUACGGGACUGACUACCCUGCACCUCACUGCUAGCUACAGUGGGACCGGCAAGUCUACGGGUGACAAAGUCAUAAGAGAUAUUGGCCCCC